AACCCCAAGACAAUUUAAACAAAGGAAAAAGUAUACCAUCCUCUGACCAUUUCUCUAACAAGUAAGCAUGUUCUUUCCAUUACGUGUUCCGUAUGGCAUAUUGAUCGUCCCAAUAUUGUAACUUUCCCAUUAUUACUAAUUUGACAUUGCUAAUCUAUUUUCUCUAACAACAUGUAUGAUACCCGACUUAUCUAAAUUUGCCUACUUACAUUUUAACUUCAACCUUUAAACAUAAGAGAACUGCUUAAUUUGUAUCUAAAAUCUUUUGAUUUUGUCAUCUUGAUAUAAAUAUGCAAUUUGUGUAAAUAGUGAAGUUGAUAUCUUAAUAGGAGCUUGGCCUAACUAUUUUUGAUAUGUUCCUUUUCAAUAAUUUACGGGAACGACAAACAGUAAUGUCCAGGCAUUCAAAAGGAGAUAUGUGCAAGGAAGGAGUUGAAGAGCUGAUGUUUCCAGGACAGAUUGCAAUUGCUAGAAUACUUCUUUUCAUUUGAAUUUCUUUUGUUUAUAACUUACUAGAUCACCCCUUCAACCAAAUCAUUCAUAACUUAAAUAAGUUGCUUCAUUGAAAAUUGUGGCUUUUAUGGUUGAAAUAAGUUCGAACAAUACUUUGUUUACCACAGGCUUACUAUGUUGGGCCCGUGCUAAGCACGGGCCAUGCCUUUCUAGCUUAUUUAGAAGUGGGAGUAGGGAAGGAUGAACAAGGGCAAAUAGGUAAUUCUAAUAUUAACUUUGGGAUAAUUCCUAAUGUAAAUAGUACAUUAUAAUGGGCCCAUCUGUCAUAGAUAUAUGACCUACUCUAUUAACACGUGUAUUGCUCUUUAUUUCUCAAGAAACACGUGUGCUACUAAUUGUGUUGUCUUUUUCAUUGGAACAUUUAACAAAAAACUUGUGUAAAGUGAGCUUAUUGUUCUUCUUCUGGGAAUGAUUUCUACCGUCCCUUCAGUUUUAAAUCCCUUUCCCACUGGUAUUAUACCUUUUCCUGCCAGUGUAGAACCUAGCAGAUAUCGAUUAAUCUAAUUUUAUGUUAUUUUUAUUUUGCCUUUAGGUCAAUUUUUCAUUGGAUUGGUUUGAAUUUUCUUUCAAUUUUGUUGAUUUCUUGGGUAUUUAGGGUUGUUAUACCGUUCCAUGCACUACAUUUUAGAGUUCAUUGUAAUUUGUAGCACUGGCCGUUUUUCUCCUUCUCCUCUCCGACUUGCCUAUUUACAAAUUUGUAUUUAAUAUAAUAAUUUCUCCUAUUCAGGUCUAUUACUUCAAGGAGAUAGGGGAGAAUUGCAAGCAUGAGAUGCCGGAAUGGAGCAGAAGCUUGAAAUUCAAACAAUCUAUCAAAUUUUUAUAUCGUUAUACAUCAGGUAUACCGACCUCAAUUUUUCCAAAUCAAACCAAGAAAAUAUAGGUUCUCCCCUUUUUUAUUUACCGACUAUGAAUUUCUGAUUUGAGUAGAGAUUGCAACACUAAAUUCCUUAUAGGGUGAGUUCACAAUUUUGCGGUCUACAUGAGUUACAUUCUGCUACCACAACAAUUAGUCUUCUAAUUUUUCUUCAACACCCAUACUUUUAUCUAACUCUGUUGGAGGCUAAUGGAGAUUAAACAAACAACAAACUACCUUAAGUUGAUGACAUGAUGGUUAACCUUAAAAUGCACAUGUCUCCUUUUCUGAAAAUUGGCAUGGACAAACACGAAUCAGUAGGCAAGUUGCUAAAUUAGUUUUUAGCAUUGAUGUUAUCAUAAACAAAGUCGCGUGAGAUCAUAUGAAUGAAUUGUUGGUGUUCUGUUGUAAUAGGAAAUUCUACUUUAAAGUUUACAGACUAGCUUUCUGUUACAUAUGAAUAACAAGGCUCAAUCGGACAUAGAAGACGGUCUCCAUGUUCUAAGGUAUGAAACUUACCUUUAAUAUGUCUCUCAUUUUUCUUGAUUUUGGUCUCUGCAUUAUUAGAUAAUAUAAUGUAUCACAUGAAAAUUGACGAGGGUCAUAAAUGUCUAGCAUGUAUUGUUUGCAUCAGACGGUUUUGGUUGAGCUUUAGUGGUGGAGUAGCAAUUCUAUUCUGAAUUUAUUGCCUUUAAACCUUCAUGCUCUAGAGUACUGUAGAUCAGGUGGACCUCAAUAGGGAUCUUCUCUUUUCCCGUGACACAUUUCUGUUUUUGAGGCGAUCUCUUUUUCUCAAUCUGACCAUUUAUAUCUACUGAUUGUUGAACCCAAAAAAAAAACUUUAAAAUAUCUAUUGAUUGUGUUCGCCAUGUCCAGUGGUUUAACAUUUUUAAAGCUUCGCCUUUAUGCAUUCUAAGCUAACAUACUAUUAUGUGUUAAUUACUGCCACCAUCUUAAUGGUUUAGUGAGAGCAUUCUUCGUUUUGCCUGCGUGCUUAUCCCGAUUUCUUGCAUUUGUUUACUUUCUCACCAUAUUUUUGUUGCUACUUUUAUUUUGGUCUCAUGUUUUUCAUAUGCAUUAGUUAGAUCUGCUGGUUUAUACUGAUAUGAUAUUGUAGCUUUCUUUGGAUGAAGUUCAUUAUUUUGACAGUAGUUGAUUUAUAUUUUCUGUUAGUAGAAUUCAAAUAUAUUACUAAGUUGCGUUGUAAAUUGGCAUUAUGGAACUACUGAAUUCUGGAACAUAUUUUCCUGCAGAAAUAUGCUUGCUCUUCAAUACAUAUUUUAGGAAUAUACUAAAAUAUAUGAGAUACAAAUUCAUUACAAAUACGUAAAACUCUACGCAAGAACACUAGCCAAAUAUCUAUAUUCAUGUUUUUAGUAAUAGGAAUCUCUAUAUCUAGACAACAAGACACACUUCUCUGUUACGAGUACAGUUGUUUGGCUCUGCAAUUAGUUUCAACAAACCUGCACAUUAACUUAAGAUGCUAUCUUCCAAUUGCUUAAAUGUCUCUCAAAUUAGUAGCUCUUGCCACUUGCUUACCCCAAAGAAAACCAUUGUUGAUGCACCACUUUGACAAUGUAAUAGGAGUGCAGCAAACGAAAUCAUUAUCAAAGUUGGAUAGGCUAUAGGCAAGUUCUUAAGUAAUUGAGUCUAUUCUCCAGAUUCGGGUCCCUUUGGAGGAUGUGGAGUAGGCGGGGGAAGAUGUAGCAACAUUAUAUAAGGAAGAGCCUAUAGGUGAAAACAAGAUAUUUCAUAAGCUUAGUUUCUUUAAUUAUCUCACCAAUACAUUUGACUUAUCAUGUGACCAAGGAAAAUAUAGAAAUUUUUCCUUGUAAGAUGAUGUUGUCAUAACAUGAUUGCACAUAAUAGGAGUCUCACUAUAAUAGCAUCGUGUAACUGUAUACUUUUUGGGUUUUGUAUUAUGGUUAUGAUUCUUUACAUUUAUCUUAUGCUUACAUAUCUAACAUCAUCAGCUGUUUGAAGAAGUCCAGCUGUUAAAAAGUUAAAAUUUCUUUGGCAUUGUUGAAAAUUGAGCAGAAAAAUUUCAAUUUUAUAUUACUUUUAAGUUCUUCCAUAUUGAUUCCCUUAAGUUAAAUUUAGUUAUUUUUACAAUAAAAAAGUUAAUAUUGUGCUUGCUAUCACUAAAUAAAUUCAGCGUCUGAGAAAAAAAGAAGAAGAAAUGAAGAAGAAUAUGGAGAAAUGAUCUUGGCAAAAGGGUACUAACAGGAGAAGCUUUACAAAGAGUUUAAUGGUAAGUUGUUUCUGUCAUGCACAAGGAAUCAUCUAUAUGGUUUUAUUUUAUGCUCUAUAAAUAUGAAGGUGUUAUGUAGUAGCUAAAGAAUGAUUUAGUUUUGAUGAUGUUUUGCCGCAUAUCUUUAUAAUAUAUUAGUUGCCUCUAUAUUUAAUGAAAACUCAUUAGAUGUUAAAGAAUUUUCUAGAACAUAAAAUCAGUGAACAUUAACUCCUACAGUAGUGUUAUUUUUUGAGUCUUCUAGGCUAUUUCAUGUCUUAAAAAUGUUCCCUAAGUUCCAACAGUUGUAAAUUGUUCGAUCUGAUAAGUCUCUUCAAGUACUAAUAUUAUUGACAGAAAGGACAAAGUGAGACAACUGACUAUAUUUUAUCUCAUGAUAAAUGAGAAGAACUAACAAUGAAAUUCAUUGUAGAUGUUGUAUUGCCGAAACAAAGAUUGUAGGUAAAGUGACAUACUGAUGAUACGAAAGCAUUUACUAAUUAAAUAUGACAAAAUGAGGAUAUUAAUUUUAGUGCGAUCAAAAUGUAAGACAGUAUAAAGGAGGAAUCAACUCCUAAUUUUCAGUUAGUAGAAAGAUUCCUUGCAAGAUAUUCAUGGGUUUUAUGACUUCUUAAAAUACCUAAGUUAUAAUAUAUUAAGGGAAGAAGUAGUUUCUCCUUUCCUUCUACAACUCAAAGUUACUUUUCAGUGUACUUGAUAUUUUCUAUUUUUUUUGCAAUUAAAGUUCCUUUUAUUAUGAAUAAUGAUUGGUGAAGUUUCUACAGAAGAGAAUCAAGUAUAAAUUAUGUUCUCUGCUUUUUGGUUGUUAUGACAUUUUCAAUUCGAAUAAUUCCACAAGCAAGUUACCAAAGGUAUUUACACAAAUGGAUCUGUGAGUGUGAUUUCUGUGAAAUGCAUUUGCACUAUUUAUUUAAUGAGACAUUUAUAUGGAGAAAUGAUCUUGGCAAAAGGGUACUAACAGGAGAAGCUUUACAAAGAGUUUAAUGGUAAGUUGUUUCUGUCAUGCACAAGGAAUCAUCUAUAUGGUUUUAUUUUAUGCUCUAUAAAUAUGAAGGUGUUAUGUAGUAGCUAAAGAAUGAUUUAGUUUUGAUGAUGUUUUGCCGCAUAUCUUUAUAAUAUAUUAGUUGCCUCUAUAUUUAAUGAAAACUCAUUAGAUGUUAAAGAAUUUUCUAGAACAUAAAAUCAGUGAACAUUAACUCCUACAGUAGUGUUAUUUUUUGAGUCUUCUAGGCUAUUUCAUGUCUUAAAAAUGUUCCCUAAGUUCCAACAGUUGUAAAUUGUUCGAUCUGAUAAGUCUCUUCAAGUACUAAUAUUAUUGACAGAAAGGACAAAGUGAGACAACUGACUAUAUUUUAUCUCAUGAUAAAUGAGAAGAACUAACAAUGAAAUUCAUUGUAGAUGUUGUAUUGCCGAAACAAAGAUUGUAGGUAAAGUGACAUACUGAUGAUACGAAAGCAUUUACUAAUUAAAUAUGACAAAAUGAGGAUAUUAAUUUUAGUGCGAUCAAAAUGUAAGACAGUAUAAAGGAGGAAUCAACUCCUAAUUUUCAGUUAGUAGAAAGAUUCCUUGCAAGAUAUUCAUGGGUUUUAUGACUUCUUAAAAUACCUAAGUUAUAAUAUAUUAAGGGAAGAAGUAGUUUCUCCUUUCCUUCUACAACUCAAAGUUACUUUUCAGUGUACUUGAUAUUUUCUAAUUUUUUUGCAAUUAAAGUUCCUUUUAUUAUGAAUAAUGAUUGGUGAAGUUUCUACAGAAGAGAAUCAAGUAUAAAUUAUGUUCUCUGCUUUUUGGUUGUUAUGACAUUUUCAAUUCGAAUAAUUCCACAAGCAAGUUACCAAAGGUAUUUACACAAAUGGAUCUGUGAGUGUGAUUUCUGUGAAAUGCAUUUGCACUAUUUAUUUAAUGAGACAUUUGCCGAGUCUUCUUCAUAGUAGUAUUUGAUUUGAGUAAUGUGAACAAAAUAUUAAGGAAGAUGAUAAGUUUAUACCGUUAACAAUUAAGGUUUGCCUAUUGUGCUUCAGGUUCUUUGUCAAAAUCUUAGCUUGUGACAACAAUGCAGGGAGGAAUUUUGAAUGGAUGGAUUUUUCUUUGCAUCAACUAUAGAAUAUUUAUUUAGUUUUUGAGUUCCUCUUUAUUUAACUAGAACUACAGUGAUUACAAUAUUCAAUUUUUAUAUGUUAUGUAUUAUGUAAUGACAAUUAAAAUGUUUUUGAUACAGGUGUUCAAAAGUCAUUUUUUCUGCAUUGGAAAUUAAAAAAAGGUCAAAACACAAAUAUACGUGUUGGGCCCGUGCUGGCACGGGCCAUGCCCAUCUAGUGUACCUAAAAGGGAUGGAGCUAGUACAUAAAGAAGAAAAGGCUUUACGGCCCAUCGGCCCACUCAUUGUCCACAAAUAUUAGAGUUUGUCUUGGAUCAUUUCAUAUUUUCAAUCAUAAGAUUUUGAAGCCUAAAAGUAGAGAUGUUAUUAACUGCUAAGUACUAAUUAUGAGGAAUCUCGUGGACAGAUCCAAUUGUAUACCAAUGCUUAUUAAAUCACAAUGAUUAAUUCGAAUUUAUUGUGUUAAGAGUUUGAAAUGUGUCUCUGUCAAAAUUUGGAGUCAUUGUAGCCACAGGGACGUUUAGUUGUAGAAAUUUGGGUUAAAAUUUAAUGGCAAUAAUGGAGGGGCUGCAAAUUGCAAGGCCCAGAAGGCAGACACAACUGCAGAAGAUCUAGUAGACCUUCAAUGAAGUGAGCCUACUCAAUAUCAUACACUAUUAGAGAUAUUUUUUAAUAUUAGAGUAAAUGAGUCCAUUACAUAUUACACGUUAAACGAUGUUGACAAGGUACCUAUUAUUUUACCAAUAAUACCAUUUAUUUUGACACUUCAUACGUACUUAGCUUUCAAUUCCCAUCGUGUGCUAUAUCAUCUUUAAUUUCUUAGUUUUCUAAAUUGAUACCUACUUAUUUUUGGCCUAUGUGGUAGGAAAAGAUCGAAUAACAAUUUAUAUCAUGAUAGUUUUCAUAGAUAUAAAGACGGAUUCAUAGUUUAAACUUGACCUUAAAGAAAUAACUUUGUUAGAUAGGGAAAGAAAUCCUUACUAAUAAGCAGUAGUAGGGUAAGUGAACAUUAAAACCUGUCUAAAAGCCUACAGACAAAACUUAAUCUCUAGAGAUUUCUUUUAAGUUCAGGUCAGCCCUACAAGCAAGAAAAAAUAAGUGAGAGGGAUUGUUAUUCGUGACUUGUCUAUUUAAUGGAUGUAAAUUUACCAAUGGCCAAAAAGUUAUAAAGAUAAAUAAUGUUGUAGAAAAAAAAAGAUUAAUUAGCUCUAUAAGUUACACAUAAAGUAAAUGUCCUGAAAAUUUAUUUCACAUCCAAAAAUAGGAUAUAAGUUUCCAAUUUCAGUACCUUCAGUUGUCAUUUGCGAUUGUAACAGUGAUUAAGAAAUGGUACCGUUGUUAGGGCACAAAAUUUUAACAAAAACAUGGUCGGUUUUUGAUAUCUAAUACAAUAAUGCCACGUGGAACUCGGUGUUUGGUUAUUGAAAAAUAAUUCCAUUAGAUUUUUCCAGCUCUACAGUUCAAUUUGAAUAGCGAUCCUGUUGUGUUAUACUCUCCAAUUUGAUAAAUUCCAGUCAUCAAUUAAUGAAGAUGAAUUAAGAAUAGUACUAAAAUAAUCCUAUAACUGUGUCAAUUUGCUUAUUUGUGUGUAGUAAAUUCAUAUGUGGCCUACAACACAAAUGCAAUCCCAAGUAAAAGCCAGAUAAGCGCCUUAAUGCGGGCCAAUUUUUACCGAUCUGCCGUCAAGUUUCGUGGACACCCAAUGGCGGCAACUGUGGAUAGAUUGGGACCGCACUAAUUACUCUGCAAAAAUGACUCAUGGUUUUUUACUCGAAAAAAUUACGUAAUAAAGACCGUUCUUAAAAUUUAACUACAUUUUUAAUAUCAUAAAAAUAAAUUUUAUUUUGUAUUUUUUUUUAAAAAAAAUUAGCGGUCGGAAAGGAAAAUACGAGAGGAAAUUACUAUGAGAAAACAAACCCUCAUCACUAAGGUGGAAGUUCAGAUAGUCAACUAACUAAAACUAUUAGUAAGAUUUUCCUUUAUAAUUGUUUGGAUAGAGUUGAAAUGCAAAAAUAUCACCCUUCCCAAAGACUUGUGACUUAAAAUAAAUUUUAGAUUAACAUUAUCAAUAUGGUAGACUACUCAAAAUUCAAAAUUAUAUAUAUGAAAAAAGUUUGAUUCCUUUUUUUGUGAUAAUUAUUUCGAUUCAAUUAUCAUUCCACGAUAUAACUUCAUUACAAGGAGAUUCAAUCAAAACAUAUGGCUCCUCCACUGGGCAUCACCCAUUUUUCUGUGGCGCCACACAUAAACACAAACAUACCCUUGUAUGUUUGGUACAAUGUAAAAUGCUUGUCACGAGAGUGUCUUACUUUUGGAAAUCAUCAUUUUUAGUUAUCAUUUUUCAAUGUUUGCUUGAGUAUCAAAUAAGAUGAUGUUUGGUAAUUGUACAAAGUGAGCAAUAAUUCAUCAAGAUAAUGAUUUGGUGAUAUUUAAAAGUAUAGAAAGCUACCCAAAUUUUGAGUCCUGAUUGAAGCAACAAUGAAUUAAAAAAUAAAACGUGUGAACAGGAAAUUGAUUUUCAUUCUUAAGUGAAGAUAUCAUUUUUACAAUUUUUAUAUAAAAAUAAUUUAUAUAAUUCAAUAGUAUACAUUUAAUUAAUUGGGCGAUACUUCUUUUUUUUUUUGAGAAAAAUCAUAUGAGCUACACCACCUGCUAAAUAAAAAAAGCAGCAACCAAACAAUAAACCCAACAAUUCCACCGAUGACCAUCUUGACGGUGCGAGUGUUUUUAGGUAAAAAUCGUCCAAGCUCGAUUCAAGUUAAAAAAUAUCAUAUUCAUAUCAUAUUAAGAAUAUCGUUUGAUUGUUUUAGCCUAACAAUUGAUAUUUGAGUCUUCUCCUUUUCAAAUUAUUGCUUAUUUUGUUUACGUUUUAAAUGCCCAAUUUUGAAUAUGUGAAGGUGUUGAAUCCUACAUCGAUUGUGAGAUGAAAAACUAGAUCUCCUCCAUAUAAAUAAUAUUGGGCAAUUCUCACUUCACAAGAAUGACUUGGGCGCUUCACCAUUUUUUAAUCACUAUCAUAUCAAACACACCUUUUUACAAGUUUUCAAAAUGAGUAAUAAUGCACAAUUUGGCAUCCAUACAUAGAGUACACCUAGCUAGAUGUUCUUUGUGGCACCUAAAUCCUAAUGUUGUAAUAAUAGAAGUUGUUAUUUGAUGACAAAAGACUCUACUCUUAAUAAAAGUGAUAGAGACACCAUUCAAAGAGAGAUUGUCUUUGAUCGAUGAAGAUUACUAUCAACACGUUGUUGGAAAAUAAAGAAUACUACUAAAAGAAUGGAAAUAUUUGAAAGUUUAAAUUAUGCUUGAAUAUAAAUUUCCUCCUAUUUAAAAAAGGUUGAUUUUUUUAAUUAAUAUAAGCAAAUAACAUUCUUUGGUGUUGUUUUUGCAAAUAAUGAAAUCGAUCCCAAUUAGGGGUUGAAGAAGUCAAAAGUCAUUUAUAAAAAGUAAUUAGAAGACCGUAGAUUAGAUAUGACAUCUGGCUUAGUAGCUACAAAUUACAAUAAACAUGAAAGGAAAAAUAUGGUGAAGCCCUAUGAGUUAUGACCAGAAGAAGUGAGAGAAUUAUUCUGGAUUAAUUGUUCAUCCAUCAAUAGUAGGGUUUGGCAUAGAGAGAGGGUCCACUGACGGCUUGCUAUUAGCUGUAAUAUGAAAGAAAGAAAAAAUAUCGAAUUUCCUAUCGUCGUUUUCUUGUAUAUUUACUCAUAUAUAAACCUCACAAACUUCCACACUAUCACCACAACAUCCAAUUGUAUAUUUAGAAAAAACAAUGACCACAUUGACUUCCCCUUCCUUAAAAUAUUCAGCUUUUGUUCUAAUAGUGCUAUAUGCCUUGACCUUUUCAUUCUCACUAGUAAGUGCACGACCCGCCACUUUUUUACAGGAUUUUAAAAUCGCAUGGUCUGACUCUCACAUCAAACAACUCGAUGGCGGCAGGGGAAUUCAACUUAUUCUAGACCAAAAUUCAGGCACAAUUUUUUUUUUAAAUAUUUUUAGCACUGAAUUCAUUUAGGAGUAAUUUUUAAUAUGAAAAUUAUUAUAGGUUCAUAUCAUGAACCCGUAGUCAAAAGGCUCCAUCCGCCUCUAUUUGUGUAAUGAUUCAUGAUUGGUACUUUGCAUUUAGGAUGUGGAUUUGCUUCGAGAAGCAAAUACCUGUUUGGACGUGUUAGCAUGAAGAUCAAGCUCGUUCCUGGUGACUCUGCAGGAACCGUUACUGCCUUUUACGUAAGUGUAUAUAUAUAAAUUAAAUCGGACGAGAGUAGUUAGUUAUUAUUCAUUAAUUUGAUAUUUCUAGACCAUGCCUUUCUUUUGCAGAUGAACUCGGACACAGAUACCGUAAGAGACGAACUUGACUUCGAAUUCUUGGGAAACAGGACAGGGCAGCCGUACACUGUUCAGACGAAUGUUUAUGUCCAUGGAAAAGGUGACAAGGAACAAAGGGUUAACCUUUGGUUUGAUCCAUCCGCUGAUUUUCACACCUACACCAUUUUUUGGAACCACCAUCAAGCCGUGUAAGUACAUAUAUAAUAUAGGUCGCCAUACACAUGUUUAAGUUUACGAGAUUGAAAGAAUAUUUUUGUGACCACAAUUUUUAGAAAAUAAAACGAAGGGAUACGUACAAUUUAAUUAACUUGUUAGAGUAUAUAACAUGUAAGUUAGUGUUUUCACUACGUACGUACGGACAAUUGAUUAAUGUCUAUAUAUCCUAGAAACUUACAUGUAAUUAACCAAGUAUAUUGACUAAAUAUUUUUGUAGUAGUACGUACUUAAUUGUUUGUAAACUUGAAGGUUCUCCGUGGACGGAAUACCCAUUAGAGUGUACAAGAACAACGAAGCAAAAGGAAUCCCAUUCCCCAAAUUCCAACCCAUGGGUGUUUACUCAACAUUGUGGGAAGCUGACGACUGGGCUACAAGGGGUGGCUUAGAGAAAAUAAAUUGGAGCAAAUCCCCAUUUUACGCAUAUUACAAGGAUUUUGACAUAGAAGGAUGUGCAAUGCCAGGACCAGCAAAUUGUGCCUCGAACCCAAGUAAUUGGUGGGAAGGACCUGCUUAUCAGCAACUCAGCCCAGUACAAGCAAGGCAAUAUCGUUGGGUUCGAAUGAACCAUAUGAUCUAUGAUUAUUGCACCGACAAAUCGAGAAACCCCGUUCCACCACCAGAAUGUAGGGCCGGAAUAUGAAACUUUUCCUUAAUUGUGUAUACAUAAGGGGGGAAAUGAAAUAUGUGCCCAUUGAUAUGGACAGUCACGCUUAUGUCUUAUCAAUAUUGCUCCGUUGUUAUAUGUACUAAUUAAUGAGUGGCCUAAAGUCAAAUGUAGUUUUAUUGCCGUAAUAUAUUGUUUAUUGCAUGUAUAUGUAUUGUACACUGUACGAGAGCCAAUAAUGUUUCUUCUUGUUUGAUUAUUGAGAUAUUAGUAAUGUGAUGUUUCUUCGUCUUUUGUCUAAAUGAUUUUCAACCUCAAAACUCAAGAGUAAAGUAAAGCUAUUCAUCAAGUAAUUGUAAACGUACCUCGCUCUUCUUAUUACUCUUGCUUAGCUUCUUAUAAUAUGAUAACUUCGUUCACGGUUUAUUAUCGAUCGGCGUGUUGAAAAAAUUGUCGAAAACUUUAAACUUUUUGGCGAUUCCAUCGAAAUUCCCUAUAGUGUCGGUAAUACAUAAAUGUAUGAACUUUAAUUUGUUAGAUGGUCAAAUCUGUCUAGCAGUACUGGGAGCUCGAGGGUAAUUGAAUGUUGCCUAAAAGUGCCAAAAUACUAACCUUAUCUGUAUUGAGGAACCGCAGGUUUUCUAUCAGAUCAUAUAUAGUUGAAUAGUAACUCUAGUUUUAGCUCUUGUCAAUAUUAUUUUAGCAUAAUCUUCUAGGCAUAUCCGUUAGUUUAUUUUUAUCUCUAUUAACACAUCCGAAACUUUUGUCGGCCUAAAGUUGGUAUAAUAUAUUAUUAUUAGACAUUUGAGGUGAUUGAUUAAAGUGUACCAGACGAUAGCAUUAUGAGGAAGAGCUCAUAUAACAAGAACCGGAAAAGUUAUGGGCAAAAGUUACUACGAUAUUACUAGCUAUAUCAUCAAUCAAUUAAUUGUCCUUCAAGUAGAAUAGCGUACUAUUAUUAUAAACAAUCAACCACAUGGUUAGAGGCUUAAAUUUCAGUAAAAAAAAAAAAGAUCAGUGGACACCCUUCCUCAAAAAAAUUAAACUUUUCCCAUGGGUACAAGUUACAUGUCCAGUAACUCUUUGGCCCACUGACCCAAUAGUAGUAAUUUGGUCAGUUCCAUUUGUAAGCCGAACUGUACUUUUUCUUAUCAAGCAAUCCUCCAAUAAUGCUUCGCCACGGCAACAGUGCUUAUGGGCCUUUUAUGUGUCUCAUUGGCAAUGUAAGCCCAGAUGAGGGCCAUGCUGACUGUGUUUAUAUUCGCCAUAAAAAAAAAAAAACUUGGACAGCCAAUGGCCGAAUGGCAGAAAUUACGAUUGGGACAGCAUUAACUUUCCAACUCAGACUGAUACUUCUAUUUGUGUCGAAUGGCUUUUUGUUUGUGGCUCCAAUGAGACAUAAAGCUACCACACAGGGUCAUUUGGUUUACCGUACAGUUAUCAGAAUGCAUCAAUUAUAUAUAUUGUAUGGAGACUUAUAUAUAUUGAAUAAUACUAGUAAUAAAAACACCUAAGUAUAGUUAAUGUAUAGGUUGUUAAGCGAUGGAAUACUAAAAUAUAUAGAUUGUUAGUUGUUACAUAGGAACUGUAUAAUUACUAUCUUUAGAUAUGCUUAUUCAUGUAGUCUUAAAUCUUAAUUCACAUAUAAAUAAUAUCUACACCUUAUUAUAGAAACAGAAAAAUAACCAAAACUAACCUUAAACUAUUCAAAAUAGCUCAUAGUAUUUACCUUCAGUUUGCUUUUCAUACCAAAAAUAAAUAAAUACCAUAGACAUGUAUUUCUUGGACCACAAUCCACAAAUGCCAUUAAACUAAUGCAUAUCCACAAUAAGAUAUUUGAUUAUAGGCGUAAGAACAUACGUAAAAAAUUGCACCACAUGUAUUAUAUGUAAUACUAUAUUUGUGUAUAAUACAUACAUCAAAUUUUCUAUGUGCGAUUUUCUUCCCAAAAUUAGUUUUCUAUGUAAAAUUCCUAGAAUACGUAAAUGAGAUGUGUGUUGUGAUUGUAUGUAUGAAAUGUGUAAAUAAUUUGUGUUCAAUAGCAUUACAAAGCUUUUGAUUAAUGAGAUGUGUAUUAAAUAUUUAUGAGAAGUGACCUGUGUAGUUUUGAGAUAUUUGUGGUAACUUUGUGUAUCAGCAUAAAUUAUAUAGUACAGUUUUAAAAAAUAUUGAAAACUCAUGGGUAUGUAAUUUGUAUGAAUUCUAUUUUAUUUCAUUUUUUAGAUAUGUGUGGUUAAAUGAAUAUAAAAUGUGUAUAAUUAAAUUCCUUAUAUAAUAGUCUUAAAAAUAUCGAAAAGUGAACCUUGUUUAAUAACUGAUUUGUAUCAAUUGAGAUUAAAUAUGUAUAUAAAAUGUGUAUAACUAAGCAAUUUUUGAACCCGACUAUGUAUAUAGAAAAUCUCCAGAGGAAAUAGUGAUUAACAGAAUGAGUCUAGGAGAAGUGGCUUCUAUCUUGACAAGUUAAUCCUCAACAAACUUUAGGUCCUCAACCUACUUUUAUAUAUAUAUAUAUAUAUAUAUAUAUAUAUAUCAUAUAAANNNNNNNNNNNNNNNNNNNNNNNNNNNNNNNNNNNNNNNNNNNNNNNNNNNNNNNNNNNNNNNNNNNNNNNNNNNNNNNNNNNNNNNNNNNNNNNNNNNNNNNNNNNNNNNNNNNNNNNNNNNNNNNNNNNNNNNNNNNNNNNNNNNNNNNNNNNNNNNNNNNNNNNNNNNNNGGUCCUCAACCUUCUUUUAUAUAUAUAUAUAUAUAUAUAUAUAUAUAUAACUUAUAAACAAUAUAUAAUGCAUGAUUGGUCAUCCAUCCAAACGAUAGGUACAUGUACCCAAUGUUAUUUAUGACAAUAACACUAUUGCCUAAUGAAGUUUGUUAGUUGAUAAUUAAAUAUCCUACUCUAAAUGCAUUAGAUAGAGACCCCCUUCAAAUUAAACACCGAACAACAAAGACGGAGAAAAAUAAAAGCAAAAAUUGAAAAUGAAGAAAGAAAAUUAAUUAUCAGUGUUUAAGUGUGCCCUUAAUUUCAUCAUUAAUUAUAUUACCUUCCCAGGGAUCAUAAACCGUUGAAUACAACUUUAACAAAUCAGGACAUUUAACUGCAACAGUACUAAAGCUAAAUAUUUGGAUACAUAGUAAUCCUUCCGUUCAACAAUAGUUGACCACUAUACUAUUUUGGAAUAUUCCACUUUAUAAAAUCAAUGGAUAAUUUUUACACUUAGUUCCUAAUUUAUCCUUAUCAUUAAUUAUAGUUAUUUCUCUAUUAAAUUUUUCAAGAUAUUGUAUUUAUUAUAUUCAAAGGGUGAUAUAGUAAAAUUAUCUUUCUAUUUGCAGUUUUUUAAAAAGUGUGCAAAGUCAAUAGUGAACAACUAUUCUUGGACAGAGACAUGCAUGUAUCUUCUGUUAGUAGAGUUAACUCAUGGUAGAAGAAUCUCGAUUUCUAACGUGUAUCUAUAUCCCUAUAAGGUAUAUAGAUAUGAGGUACACUAUUAAGGCCGUAUCCAAAGUCAAACUAGGGUGAUAAAAUUAGCCAGCUAAAAUAUAGCUCAGUCAGUAAUUCAUUCAUAUUGAUAUACUCAUUUAUACUCGGUUAAUCUAAAAAAUUGGUUGAUUUUGGCUAAGUACGUAUUAGUUCAAUAAAUUGAUACUAGAGAAAUAAAAUAAAAAUAUUAUAAUGAAAACAAACAAAGAAAUUGAAACUUGGUAAGAGUUGGACGCAUUGGAAUUUGACUCAUUGUUUAGCUUAUCUUGAUCCAGCUCAACUAGCUUUUGAACGGAGUUGGACAAUCACCAAUCUAUUGAUUUAGCUCAUUUUAUUUCAGUUCAAACCGUCCAUUUAUCAGGUCUAGUCUAUUAUCUGAACACAUAAACUACAAUUAAUAGCUAGCUUAUUAGAGGAGUAAGAGUCGUGGAAGAAAAAAUAUGGGUAGUUGUUAAAUGAUAAUAUGAAUAGAAUUGAGGAUGAUCAUCAAAAUUAAGUUUGGCUUGCAAUUGAUGGUACUCCAUGUUAUGGCUUGCAAUUUGCUGUCACGAAAGGUAAUAAUCCUUUGAUGGAGGCUUUUCCAUAAUUUGAAUUCAUCAGUCUUCCUUUCUUUCUCAUGUUGCGCAUAUAAAAAUAUCAUAGCAUUAACGUACACUAUCAGCACAUGACAAUAUUCUUCAAUCGUAUAAUAAUAUAGAGAAAUAAAAUUUUAAAACUUAAGAAAUUCAGCUGUCGUACUAUUAGUAUUGCUAUAUUUCAUUCUCAGUAGUGAGUGCACAACCCACCACUUUCUUACAGGAUUUUAAAGUAACUUGGUCUGACUCUCACGUGAAACAAAUCGAUGCAACUCAGCUUAAUUGUUCGUAUUUCCACUUUCUCGUGUUUAAACUCAUGUGUAAAUGAAAUGUCCUUAAUUGUCUUUUGAUUUUAGUAUGUUGAUUUGCUUCCAAAAGCAAAUACUUGUUUGGACGUGUUAGCAUGAAGAUAAAGCUCGAACCGUCGCGGCCUUUAAUUUUAUGCUAGUGUAAUUAAUUACCACUAGAUUUUAUUUCUUGGGGGAAAAGAAAGUGAAAACAAGUACAAUAAUGUAAAAUAGUUUACACUAUCUACAGAUUUUAACUAGCUAUAUAUAACAGAUUAUUUACUCUAUUUAUAGACAGUUAUAAAUGAUUUGAUGGUGUAAAUACUACAAGGACUUUGACAUUGAAGGAUGUGCAAUGCUAGGACCAGCAAAUUGUGCCUCGAACCCAAGCAAUUGGUGGGAAGGACCUAACUACCAACAACUUAAUGCUGUGGAAGCAAGGCGAUAUCAUAUGUCUAUGAUUAUUGCACUGACAAAUCGCGUAAUCCCGUUACCCCACCUGACUGUGUCUACGGAAUUUGAAGCCUCGAUCAAAUGUUUUCGUUAUUUAUACAUACUAAAUGUUGCAUAUAUAGCCGAAUAAGUGUAUUUCGGAUAUCUAAUAUAUAAAGUAAAAAAAAUAAUGUUGCAGACCCUAUGUAUUUAUGUGUUAUGUAUGUUCCUACCUAUGUGGACGAAGGCGUAGGAAGGGGAAAAGAGAGUGAAAAAAAUUGUAGUAGUCAGAGGCGUAUCUCACCGGGUUCACGUGAACCCAUGGUCCCCUCCCAAGAUCAUAUAUAGUAGUUUUAUAUUUUAGAAAAAAUAUUGAAAUAUAGAUGUGUGAUCACACUUGAAGUAUCACAUAAUGCGAUUAUGACUGGGUGCACCUCUCUCCGCGAGGUUAGAAAUUUAAAUUUUAUAUUUAUCUUGUUUUAAUUUUCUUUCUAAAUGUCGAACCGAUUAAAUUUGUAUCAUAGAUAACCUUUUUAUAACAGUGUACCUAUCAUCUCAAAAUUCUUGAUACGCCUCUGGUAAUAGUAUUUAUAAUUUGUGUUGAUAUGGUCAUGGGACGCAUAUAGAUGAUAGUUCCGUUUUUGGGAAUUGUGAAUUUGAGAUGUACUAGAAAUCUAAGAGUAAGGUGUAGGCAAAAGUCAAAUGUCAUUUUAUUGCUUUAAUUGAUAUUCUGUAUUUGGCUAUUUGCUGUAAAUACGAGAGUUUUGUUGAAAAUAUGCAUUUGGAUACUGGUUGAACCUCAAAUUAAGGCAACUUGACAUGUCAUCGUGUCCGCACGUACUCAUUAUUGCUCUUUCUUGAUCGAUGACAUCGAUCGUACGUGUCUUGUUUUCUUUUGCCAACUGACCAAUAGAGACAAUACAAACUAAGAAAAGUCUAAGAAUAAGUGGGCCCCACAUUUAAAUUUAUUUUACAGGCACACUUAUUUCAACCUUUAUAUACCAUUCAAUAUAUAUGAAUUGCCAAAAAACAACAAAUUUCUUGUCAAUUCGACAAGUUCAGAAAUAGAAAGGAAAAUAAACUAAGAAGAACGAUGACAAUUAUAUUACUGCCUGCUAAAUUAUCUUGAUCAAUAUGUAGUAGUUUCAUUAAUUCAUUUUUCUUAAAUAUAUAACCGUAAGGUGUAACCCAUCACUUUGUUUGAUUAAUGAUUUUCAUGUGUAAAAAGUAUUAAUUGUACCUAAAUGCUUAUUAUCUGGUGAUACUACUAGUCAUAAUUCCGCAUGCUAAUAUAUCUAGUAAACCAACCAAACAGCUUUCCCAGUAUAGAAAAAUUAUAUUACUAAUUUUUACAGAAUUAAUUAGUAGACUUGUAGUUCUGUUCAAGAGCUAUUAAUUUAACUUCUGCAUAACAGAAGUCUCAACCAUAGGCAUAAUGAUGAGGAUUUCUAAAGCUAAAUAUGAAAAAUUAUAAUGUAGCACCAAAUUUUAAUAAAAGUCUUUAUAAAUUUGUCGUCAAACAACAUAUAAGUAUUUGCUUUUCCAGUUGCAAAAUUCUACCAAUAUCAAUUAUUCAUUAGCUUUAAAAAUAAAAUUUUGCUUGUUGCCCCUCCAUUUAAUGUAGAAAAUAUUAAACAAAAUGAUUCGAUUUUUUGGUGGCAUGUAACGUGCAAUGCACAUCACGGAAUUAAUUAAGGUGCUAAGGAAAAUUCAAAAUUCUAUUUCUUCCCAUUUCCAAGGCAUUGAAUUAGCUCAUUCUAGGUUUUCUAUUUUAGAUAGUAUCCUAUAACUAAAAAAUUUCAAGUACUAAUCAUAUGAAUGAAGCCAAUCGAGAUAGGAAAAAAUUACCCACAAAAACAAUAGCCAACAAAUAUAUAUUUGAUAUAUUAUUAUAAGAUACAUAUAACAUGUUUUUAAAAAUAUAUUUGACUAACAAAUAUAAUACCGAUUAACUAAAUAUGUAACUUGCCUUCAAUCAUCUCGAAUUAAUUCAAGGGUUUGAGCCCAAAAUAUUUUAAAGCCCAAGGGUAACCCACUUUAUAAUAUUCAGUCCAUCGUAGAAGUAGGUGGUGGUUUAAGAGUGUCCAAUUUGGUAGUUGGGGAGGAUGACUAUGAACUCGAAUACUGGGCUAUUUAUGUUAAUAUGGGCUCUCAAUUUGGGCUGACCAAGAACCCCGUUAUUGGGUUAUUGGGCUUGCAAGAUGUUGCCCAGACAUUCUUUGAGUUGCUUCUUCCUUCCAGUAGAAAAUUUCAAAAAUAACAAAGAUAAUAAACAUAAUCAGGCUCUAACGUUAUAUAGUUUCAUAAAUUGCACUCUAUAAUUAUAGUUUCGUUUACUAUGAAGGUUUCGGUUUGUAUAUUUCGUUUGUCGGUUUGUAUAUUUUGCUUGCAAAUAUACAAACAUGGUAAAUAUAUACAAAUGGAGGUUGGUUGCAGUUUGUAUAUUUCGCUUGCGAAUAUACAAACAGGGUAAGUAUAUACAAAUUCUAUAUUUAAACAUUAGAAAUUAUUCAGAACUCCAUUUGUAUAUUUCUCUUGCCAAUAUACAAACAAGGUAUUUUAUUAUGAUUUUUUCAUAAAUCGUAUACAAAUAGCUAGGGUAAUGAUAUAAAAAUUCUGGAUUUAUACAAUCAGGAACCGAAUUAUACAAAUUCUGAAGUUAUACAAUUAGUAAAUCGAAUAGCGAAAAUUCACAAAACUGUAGCCACAGAUUAAAAAUAUAAAAACUAUAGCUAUAUUACAUAAUAUACCCUAGAUAAAAUUAGCCACUUGAUUUACAAAAAUAUCCUCUAUUUGUCGCACGCAAAAACUAUGUUCUAUCAUUUAAUUCGUUUGGACUAAUGAAUAGAUAUUAAACUUAAAUAAAAAAUAUUGGGCAAUAGAAUUGUAUUGAGAAGUUGAAGUUUAUGGGUUUUCAAUAAUCUCAAAUUUUAAAAAUAAAAAUUCAUAAUAUGUGAUAAAGGUGAAUCAAACCCUCAUUAAGAAAGUCAGCUAGUUCCUUAAGCUUAAGCAAGUUCCUUUACUCGUCACUGACCAAGUGACUAUUGUUAUAAGGUUCCCACAAAUAGUUUUUUUAUCUUUAUUUGAUUUUUCAAUAUAAAUAUAGUAUUUGUGCAAAUAUUAUUGAGUUUUUCAUAAUUCGCACCCAAUAUCAUAGAUCUGCACUUGUUGCGUAAUAUACAGCAAAAAAUUUACCCCACAAAAAUAAAAGUAAAAUCUACGUACAUCUUACUCUACUAAAAUACCACUUGUUGAAUCAUACUAAUUAGGAAGUGUGUCAUUAUUGCUGUUUGAUAUUGGAAUAAUAUGUACCACGCUAGAACAAUUAUUAUAUGCUUGCGAAAAGUCAUAUUUACGACAGUGUAUUUAGAAAUAAAAUAUUUUGAUAUCAGGAUGAUAAUGAAAUUACGAAAGAGCCAAACUUACCAUAAAGUUAGACAGGUGCUUUUGAACUUCUAGCAAAGGAUGAGACAAGACAAUACAGUUUAUUGUUACAACUUACUUACAAAUAUUAAACUACAACCAGAAUUUAGAGAGCGAUAUCAUACGUACGUAGCAGUUGCUUGUGAAAAUGGAAGAAAACAAUAGUAACCAAAUUGCGUAAUAUAAAAGUUAUAUAUUUCCAAAUCUGAAUAUACACAUUAAUUACGUAAUGGGUUUUUUCUCUAAUGUGGGGCUACCCCUUAGAUGAGGAGUGAUAAAUAUUGACGGAUUGAACUGAACUUGAGUCAAAUUGAUAUGUUUUUAGUCAGUGGCGGAGCUACACUAGGCUGAGGGUGUCCAAUUGGACAUCCUUCGUUGGAAAAGUACACCAUAUAUAUAAGUAAAAUAAUACUUUAAAUUGUUAAAUAAUAUAUUUUGGACACCCUUGAAUAAUAAAGUUUCUUAGCCUAGUGGAUUUCUGUUACUCAGCCAAAGUUGUGGCCUGAACCACACUUUUUUUCACAUUUUCAAAAAAAAUCCUAAUUAACUUCUAAAUCAUAAAUAAUAGAUCUUUUAUUUUUAAAAUAAUUCAAAAAUAAUAUUAUCUUAAAUUAGAGACUCGCAACUUAAAAAAUUAAGGGAAAGUAAAGUUUAGUAGCCAAUUGAUGUGAUUUUUUAUUUUGUUUUUCCUUAAAAAAUUAAAUAAAAUUCAAAAGUAAUUAUUUAAUUUAAAUUUAAUAAGCAAAUCCUAUUUAUUUAUUUUUUCUAUAAAGCUACUAAAAGUAAUAAAGGCUCCAUUUAAAAUUACUUUUAAUAAAACUCGUUUAAUUCUACUUUUUAAUUUUUCAUGUCUCGUUGUUAGUCAUCAGAGGUUCGUGAAAUCUUGAAGCAUAAAAGAGAUUUCAUUCUAAACUAAAUUUUCUCUUCGUUUUUUUGUUUGUGCAUUCACUUCCUAUUAAAUGAACAUGAAUAUUAAAGCUAAAUAUUAUGAAGUUUGAUUUUAAUUUUUUUUUUGUAUAUCUUUUAAUUAAGAAAAUUAAUCAUUUAUGUUACAUAGUUUGAUUUACAAAAUUUUAGUGCGCCCAUUCAUUAAAUUAUUUUUAUUUACCUAUUCGAUUCUUGAACUUUGUGAAUUUUCUGGCUACGCCACUGUUUUUAGCCCACUCAAAAGUUAUUGAUGCUGAAACGAGUUGGGUCAAGAUGAGCUAUAAAUAGGUCAUAGCACAAUACCAGCCAACUCUUAUCAAGUUUAAUUUCUUUAUUUUUUUAGUUCUAAUUUAUCUAAAUAUCAAGCAAUGUGACUAAUUACAAUAUAUUAGCCCAAAUCAACUCGACUUUUAGAUGAAUUGAAUUAAACGAGUUAAAAUGAACAAAACUAAUAAAUAAACAAGUAAAUAUAAUCUACUUAAACUUGAACGGAUCAUAUUUUAUGGAUUGGUACUAUUUUGGAUGUAAUCAAUCAAUCAAGAUGACAAAAGCCUCACAUGCAUUCGUACUUCACAAAAACCCUUCACAUGGCAUAUACUAGUGCAACUAAUUGAAUGUGUAGAUCCUCUAUCUUUUGAAAAUCAAUAAUGGAGAAAUAUUAUAAUAUCACAAAAUUAAAUUGGUUCGUAUAUAUCUACUUUAUUAAUUAUUACACAGUGAACGAAAUUGAGUCACGUCUAUGCUUUCUUGUGAAAAGAUUUCCCACUAGUACAAAAGCAGAUAUUCUCAUGUUACUAAUUAUGUGAAAUGUUAUUAAAUUGUUGUACACAUAUAAUUUUUAAGGAUGGAGACUCAUCAACAAAUUGUGGUGAAUCAUUAUUGCAUAUUAAUUAUUUCUACAUCAAUUUGUAGACUUAUUGUGGAUAAUAAAACAGAAACAGUAAUUGAUUGGCCCUUUUAAUUUGUCUAAUUAAGGCAACAAAAUAACAAUUCCUUCAGAGAAAGGAAAGCAAAAUCAGAAUUGAAUACUCCUUACUUAAUUUCAAUUUAGAAAAAGUGAAUACGUGCAUAAAAUAGCCUAUCAUAAAUUAUUUUUAAAUAUAAAAAAGACGUCAUUAUUUUGGCAAUGUAAGAAAUAAUGUCACAUAAAAUGUAUUUAAUGAAUAAAUAUUAAGACAAUCGUUUAUUGAAUCGAUUGAUGGUCUAAUUCAAAAUGUGGACAUGAUGGAAAGCUAUUGAAUAAGAAUCAGUUCUCAUGCUUACCCAAAUCUUCUUCUUUUACGGCAGUUUGUGUUUAAUGGUAUCUAACUUUAUUUAUUUAUUGCAGUUGCCUAUCCUCUUAUCCACACUUUUUUUUAAUUUUUAAUUUUUUUUAAAAAAACAACACUUCACUUGUCUUCUUUUUGCAGAAAAAUGACAAGUAAUAAUAAUGGAGCUAGAAGCUGAGGAAAGUUCCAACAGAAUAACUUCAAUCAAUGAUGAGCUGUACUACCAAAUAUGAGGAACCAGCUAAUGAUCGAGACAACAUUAACUAUGACAGCAACAGAAUGAUGAAAUGAGUUCUCUACUUGUUAAUGAAUUUUGAAAUUUUAAUGCAUGGGUUAUUAUUAAUUAUGAUGCAAUUGACUCUGAAUAUAGAGAAAAUUAUGUUGGAAAAGCUGCCUCUAAAAUGGAGACUUCAAUCCGGACUAAAAUAUAACUAUCAAACAUCGAGUGAUACAGACAACUAUGAUGCAACUGCUAAUCAGAGUGCUUACUAGAGUGACAAAAGAUCAUUAUUUCCCUGCCUAAGCGUGAAAAUCUUAUAAGAAAGAUAUCAACCUAAAAAGAUAAACUUCGUGGCAAAUCCAAACAUAGAUUUACGAGUUUGAUACUUUUAAAAAAUACUCAUAGAAUAAAUAGUUAUAUAAAAAUUGCUCUAUCAACUCAAACCUCGUAAAAAUUAAAUUCUGAAUUGAUCACUAAAUAACAUGAGGGAUCUACAUUACAAAGUUCAUUGUUGGCAACGGAUCAUUCAUUUAUUUAAAUUUUAAAAGCCAGGUGAAAAGUCUUCCUUAGCGAUAGCGAUGUUCCAAAUUAAAUAGAGGAGAUCAAAAUAUAUAUGGUCCGUUAUGUAUAAAUGUUCUUAGAAGGGUUGCUUUUAUUAUCGUCUAUCGAUUUGUUCUCCACCUUUAAGAUAUUACACAUUCGUCGACCUUCAAUUGAUUGAAGAUUGUCUAUCUCAAGCUAUUUUUACUCUAUUUGUUUUUUAUUUAUGUGACAAAAUUUAAUUUAGUAAAAAAUAUGAUUUUCAAAAUAGUUGUCUGGCUACAAAGGAUUUUAUAAAAAUAUUCACAAAUAAAAGACUAUUUAAUGCAACUGAUAAAUGAAGUUGCCACCAGGCAACACUAACCAUCAUGGCCUUGUUGCAAAUCAGCAACACAUACUUGUCAAUAUUCAAUUACUAGUGUACUUGACCGCGCUUCGCGCGGUUAAAAUAAAAGAUUAAAUAUAUUCUGAAAUAUUUAGUGUCAUUACUUGACAAAUAUUCUAAUAAUAAAUAAUGCAAUAAAAGAGAGGAAAAUUAAGUUACGAUUCUAAUAUGAUCUAUUCAAAGAAAUUGCUAAAAAAAAUAAUGCUACAAAUUGCUGAUUAAAAAAAAAAGAUGAAACAUAAAAGUUGAUAUGAAAAACUUCAGCUAAUUAAAGUUCAUCAUAGUUUCAUACUGAUUAAAGUUAAUGAUUUAUAGCAAUCUUAUUAGUUCAAUCACAAUCUACUCCAUCAUAAAUUACUCCUCAUGUUUCAUAUUAGUUGAUCACUAUAUUAAAAAUAAUUGUCACAUAUUAGUUGAUCACCUUAAUAAAUCAAUAAAGCAUUAAUUGAUAUUUUCCCAAAUUACCUUGCAAAUUAAUUCCUUUUUAAAGUGUUUUGUAAAGUUUCAAAAAAGUUCUUAAGGGGUGAAUUGGUAAAACUACCCACUUAUUUAUGAUUUCUAUUUCUAUUAUUUAUGAUUUCUAAAUAUAUGCACGUAAAAAGAAAAGUCAUCAACUAAUAUGGGACAGAGGGAGUACAUGAUUUUCUAUUUGUAUAAAUGACUAUAUAAUAAAAAUAAAUAAAUGAUAUAUUUGUGGUAAAUCAUGAUGAGAGAGAAUAUAUGAAUUAUAUUGAACCCGAUGCGGCUCUUCUUCAUUAUAUUUGUUCUCCAUUUCAUCAAUUAUAUACUUUUAGAUGAAAGACAUGUUCUAUUUAAUAUUUAUAGGUCAAGAUUAUAUUACAUUCCUAACCAUAAUUAAGUAAAUAAAAUUAGAAAAAUACUAUUCAAAAUUGGUAAAACUCCACAAAUUUUGAAGAUCCAUUAGUACCACCGAUUUAAUCUUAAUUUUAUAUUAUUCAAAAUAUCAAAAUUGUUGGACAUGAAUUUAAUAUGUUUAAUUAGCAUGAUAUAUAGUAAUCUUUUGAAAAAUAUGUCUUAUGAUUCACAUACAUACAUAAAAGAAAAGGUAAAAGAAUUUCUAUUUUUUUAAAAGAAAAAUUGAUUUUUUUUUAAUUGACACAGCAGCCUCUGCAUAUUUAAAGAUCAAUAAUAUAAGAUUUUUUUUAUUUUUUCUCCAAACAGAGUAGCCUCCUAUAUUCAAAUAUUUAAAAUACAAAAAUAUAAGAUGAUAUUAAUAUGUAUCUAAAUUUGUAGGAAAUAUUUUCUCACCGAAUUUGAAAAGUACUUUUCAAAACUUAUUUACUUAAUUAAUUAUGAUUAUGAUUUUAUUUAUUUAAUAUAAUCUUUACCUUUAAAAUUUAAAUAGGACAUAUAUUUCUUAUCUAAUUGUAUACUUGACGAAAUAGAGAGAAAAGAUCAUGGAAAGGGGAACUGAAUCCUAUUCAAACAUAUUUACUCGUUAGUCAAUAAUUUUAGAAAAAAAAGGUCAACAGUUAACAUAUUAAACAGAUAAUUAAAACGGAAAAAAAUACAGAAGAAAAAGGGAAGAGAUAGAACACAUUAAGGAGGUCACUGUUAAUUUUUUUGUUAAUGACUACUCAAGGCUGCAAAAGUAAUGGAGGUGUGUAGAGAUCAUUUUUAAAAAUGAUUGACAUUACAAUAUCAACAAUUUAGUAAUCAACUACCUUUACAAUACGAAAAUAUUAUGUAUUUUGUAUAAGGGAAAAGUACUCUACGCAUGAAUUAGCAUAUGUUUCACAAUAAAACUAAAAAGUUACAUUUAUUCGGAGGCAAAAACUUAUAAGCAAAUGUGAAAAGAUGAGAUGUACUGAAAGAGACUGUUACUCUCUUAAUAAGAUGUCUAGUCAAAUCUUGAGUAUGAAAAAACUCCUUAGUAGGAAGUGCUCGCUUCAAAUGGAGCCUUGCGCAUUGUGAAUCCAUAGAUAAUUAGGCUACAAUGUGGAUACCAAAUACAAUAUAGAAAAUAAAAAAAAAUAUAAAUUAUAAGAACAUUAUGUAACUUUACAUGAUAACCAAAGUUCAGACGUUGUUCUCACCUUCACAAUAUUCCAUAAAAAAUAAUAUAAUUUCCAUGGGAAGAUCUUUUCAAAUCAUUUUGAACUUCCUGCCAAAUUAGACAAUAUAAAGUUAGACAUCUUUUCUAUUAACUAUUAGAAUAGUAUUAGCAAAUCAUCAAAUCCAAAGAAAUUUAUAAAGAGAAAAAAAAAUUUAAUGGAAAUUAAAUCAUGAAGUAUGAUUUUACAGGACCUUAAUAUUUUGGCUAUUGAAAAGCAUUAAUUCUGAAUUUAGAAUGGAAAACGAUUUCUCCAAUAAUUAUAGCCUUAAUUUAAGGAAACGGUUAAGGGCUACUAAUUGCAAUUAAGAAUUGAAAUUUUAAACGGUAUCUUUUCUCUUUCUUAAACUUUAAUUAAUUUAAACCCAUUAUAGCCUUAAAGUGAGGAAAUUAAACGGUAACUAAUUAGAAUCAAUUUAGGUCUGAAAAUAGGAAAAAAAUCUGAGAAAAAUUUGAGAAAAUAAAUAAAUAGGUUUCCUGAUCAUUGGGGCAUGCCACAUCAGCGGGCUGAAGAUCCAGCUUUAUAUAUAUAUAUAGAUUCUUGAUUUACAAUUUUGUAUAUUUAGUUACAAAUAUUUGAGUUUCAAUAGAUUUGAGAUUUGCUUUUCUCCUUGUAGCUUUUUUAUAUCAAUUAUGACCCUGUCUUUUUGCCUUUAUGAUCAAUGAAAAAUGCCAUCGGAGGAAAUUAAAUAAUGAACGUUUGUCUAGUUUCAUUUUAAGAAAUUAUGUUUGAUUUUAAUUUACUAAUCUAUGUAUUAUAAUAAAGCUAAAUAUGAAAAUGGUGAUGUGGCGCUCUCUAAGGGCUUCAUUCUUAUUUAUCUUUUUUUUUGUGAUUUUAUUGGCAUUUUUCUCUUAUUUCUUUCAAUUAUUUUAUUUUCUUACCUCUUCAAUUACAUAAACUUUACUCCUAAUAAAUCUAUAUUCUACUAUAUUAUAAAAGAGAGUUUAGGCCCAAAUAUAAUAUAUAAUAUUCAAGUUGGGAAAAGUCCCAAUCUUGAAUAUUAUAUAUUAUAUACUUGUGGGACUAUAUUAUAAAAGAGAUUUUAGGCCCAAAUAUAAUAUAUAAUAUUCAAGAUUGAGACUUUUCCCAAUCUUGAAUAUUAUAUAUUAUAUACUUGUGGGGACUUUUAAACUCUCUUUUAUAAUAUAGUAAAAAAAAAAAAAUAUAGUAGAAUAUAUAGUAGAACUUCGGCAUAAACUCCUUUUUAAAAUAAUAUAGAAUAUGUAUAUACAUAUAUAUAUAUAUAUAUNNNNNNNNNNNNNNNNNNNNNNNNNNNNNNNNNNNNNNNNNNNNNNNNNNNNNNNNNNNNNNNNNNNNNNNNNNNNNNNNNNNNNNNNNNNNNNNNNNNNNNNNNNNNNNNNNNNNNNNNNNNNNNNNNNNNNNNNNNNNNNNNNNNNNNNNNNNNNNNNNNNNNNNNNNNNNNNNNNNNNNNNNNNNNNNNNNNNNNNNNNNNNNNNNNNNNNNNNNNNNNNNNNNNNNNNNNNNNNNNNNNNNNNNNNNNNNNNNNNNNNNNNNNNNNNNNNNNNNNNNNNNNNNNNNNNNNNNNNNNNNNNNNNNNNNNNNNNNNNNNNNNNNNNNNNNNNNNNNNNNNNNNNNNNNNNNNNNNNNNNNNNNNNNNNNNNNNNNNNNNNNNNNNNNNNNNNNNNNNNNNNNNNNNNNNNNNNNNNNNNNNNNNNNNNNNNNNNNNNNNNNNNNNNNNNNNNNNNNNNNNNNNNNNNNNNNNNNNNNNNNNNNNNNNNNNNNNNNNNNNNNNNNNNNNNNNNNNNNNNNNNNNNNNNNNNNNNNNNNNNNNNNNNNNNNNNNNNNNNNNNNNNNNNNNNNNNNNNNNNNNNNNNNNNNNNNNNNNNNNNNNNNNNNNNNNNNNNNNNNNNNNNNNNNNNNNNNNNNNNNNNNNNNNNNNNNNNNNNNNNNNNNNNNNNNNNNNNNNNNNNNNNNNNNNNNNNNNNNNNNNNNNNNNNNNNNNNNNNNNNNNNNNNNNNNNNNNNNNNNNNNNNNNNNNNNNNNNNNNNNNNNNNNNNNNNNNNNNNNNNNNNNNNNNNNNNNNNNNNNNNNNNNNNNNNNNNNNNNNNNNNNNNNNNNNNNNNNNNNNNNNNNNNNNNNNNNNNNNNNNNNNNNNNNNNNNNNNNNNNNNNNNNNNNNNNNNNNNNNNNNNNNNNNNNNNNNNNNNNNNNNNNNNNNNNNNNNNNNNNNNNNNNNNNNNNNNNNNNNNNNNNNNNNNNNNNNNNNNNNNNNNNNNNNNNNNNNNNNNNNNNNNNNNNNNNNNNNNNNNNNNNNNNNNNNNNNNNNNNNNNNNNNNNNNNNNNNNNNNNNNNNNNNNNNNNNNNNNNNNNNNNNNNNNNNNNNNNNNNNNNNNNNNNNNNNNNNNNNNNNNNNNNNNNNNNNNNNNNNNNNNNNNNNNNNNNNNNNNNNNNNNNNNNNNNNNNNNNNNNNNNNNNNNNNNNNNNNNNNNNNNNNNNNNNNNNNNNNNNNNNNNNNNNNNNNNNNNNNNNNNNNNNNNNNNNNNNNNNNNNNNNNNNNNNNNNNNNNNNNNNNNNNNNNNNNNNNNNNNNNNNNNNNNNNNNNNNNNNNNNNNNNNNNNNNNNNNNNNNNNNNNNNNNNNNNNNNNNNNNNNNNNNNNNNNNNNNNNNNNNNNNNNNNNNNNNNNNNNNNNNNNNNNNNNNNNNNNNNNNNNNNNNNNNNNNNNNNNNNNNNNNNNNNNNNNNNNNNNNNNNNNNNNNNNNNNNNNNNNNNNNNNNNNNNNNNNNNNNNNNNNNNNNNNNNNNNNNNNNNNNNNNNNNNNNNNNNNNNNNNNNNNNNNNNNNNNNNNNNNNNNNNNNNNNNNNNNNNNNNNNNNNNNNNNNNNNNNNNNNNNNNNNNNNNNNNNNNNNNNNNNNNNNNNNNNNNNNNNNNNNNNNNNNNNNNNNNNNNNNNNNNNNNNNNNNNNNNNNNNNNNNNNNNNNNNNNNNNNNNNNNNNNNNNNNNNNNNNNNNNNNNNNNNNNNNNNNNNNNNNNNNNNNNNNNNNNNNNNNNNNNNNNNNNNNNNNNNNNNNNNNNNNNNNNNNNNNNNNNNNNNNNNNNNNNNNNNNNNNNNNNNNNNNNNNNNNNNNNNNNNNNNNNNNNNNNNNNNNNNNNNNNNNNNNNNNNNNNNNNNNNNNNNNNNNNNNNNNNNNNNNNNNNNNNNNNNNNNNNNNNNNNNNNNNNNNNNNNNNNNNNNNNNNNNNNNNNNNNNNNNNNNNNNNNNNNNNNNNNNNNNNNNNNNNNNNNNNNNNNNNNNNNNNNNNNNNNNNNNNNNNNNNNNNNNNNNNNNNNNNNNNNNNNNNNNNNAUAUAUAUAUAUAUAUAUAUAGAUAGAUAGAUAGAUAGAUAGAUAAAACUAAAAAUAAUAAUUUCCUUAACUCUUUUUUUUUUCGAGAAAAACUUUAAAUUCCAUAAUUUAAUUUUCUCAAUAACAAAUUUAUGUUAAAAGUGUUAAAAAAAUUUCAUAUAUAUAAAUUAUUUUUCUUCUUAACAACAUAAAUGGAGUUUAAAUAAGGAUGAUAAGAGUAAUAUUUUUUUCUCUUUUCUUUUUACCAUAAUAAAUGUGAAUAUAUGAUUAAUGUGUAUUAAAUUUAUUCUUAUUGAAAGCAAAUAAAAGUUUCUUUUAUUUUUUCUUCAUUAAAAAAGGUGUUAUCCUUUGUACAAUUAUUAUUCCAAUUUAUUUAUAAUAAUUACCACAAUAAUAUUGUAAUAAUAGAUUGAGAGAACAACUUUUUAACUUUUCAUAUCAACAUUUAUAUUUUCAACUUUUUUAGCAGUAUGAAAAUUUAUUUUUAGCAAUUUUUUUUAAUAAGUAAUAUCGAAGUCGUAUUUUAAUUUGUGUUUCUCUCUUUUAUUGUAUUAUUUAUUAAAACAUUUAUCAAAUAGUGAAAUUAAUUAUUUUAAAAUAUUUUUAAGUUUUUCUUAUAAUCGCGCGAAGCGCGGACAAGUACACUAGUUAUAUAAUAGUUGUUGAAAUGGUACAAUGUUGCCAUUUCUCCAAAAUUUAUUUAUUUCAAUUUCCUUGUUUUACUUUUCUUUUUAUUCGGUUUAACAAGAAUAUUACUUUUCUUUGUUGACAAUUUCUUAAUUUUAAUUUUUUUAAUUUCAUAUUUAAAACCAUAAUAUUUUGAUGAAUUAUAUACCAUUAUUGAUUAUAUAAGAGAUGAAGCAUGCUCAUUUAGACAACGUGGCAAAGUCAUAUUGGUUAUUAUAUUAGUAAAAAGAAAAAUAAAUGGAAUCAAAUCAAACUAAUGACAAGGCUUCCAUAAUUGGUAUACAAUCAUUAAAGUAAUAUAUCCUAAUACUGCUUUUGCAUGCGUAAUUAGAUGUUGAUUAAGGGAAUAAAUAAGAGAGUUUCAACUUUCAUGUCAUUAAGAUUGAACCCACCUAAUCAGUUGGUUUGGCCAUGAUUGAUCAAACUAAAUAUAUUUUAAUUUUAUAAUACUACUAAGUCACUAAGGCCAGCAUUGGCUUAUUAAUAAAAAAAAAUUAGCAUUAGGUUACAAGGACAGAACAGGCCGACAAUUUUGCCUACGUUUGACGUCUGUCUACCUAUUUUGGUUGUUUCUCUAAUAAUUUCUUCUCUUUUGUACAGUUGCGUGUGCAUAUAUUUGAAAUAAUACAUAAUCCCAAAGGGGCAUUGUUAAACAUAACCGCACACAUGUUUAACAAUUCCAAAAGAAGCUAUCAUAUGCUAUUUUAACACUUUCUUCUUCUAAAUAUAUAUAAUCAUAUUUAACAAUUAUCCAAAAGAUACUAUCAUGUGCUAAUUCACACGUAGCAAACUUUCUUCUUGUCCAACCUUUGUUUAAUUUAAUCCUCAGUUUGUCUCACUAUGUCUAUAUACUAUGGUGUUUCAAUUAGGGGCGUAUAAAUCAAAUUGAAUCGACGAAUCAAAUUAAAUCGAAAAAAAAAUUGAUUUGUAGUUUGGUUUGGUUGAUUUGGUGGUUGAAAAAAAAAAACGACCACUCUUGAUUUGGUUUGGUAUUAAAAGAAAAAAAGUCAAACUGAACCCAAACCAAACCGAUAUAUAUAUUAUUUUAUUUUAUUUAUAGAUAAAAAAUAUUAUUUAUAAUCUACUUUGUUGAUAUAUUUUUAGUUAGUUUAUAGUUUUCAAUGUUUAAAUAUUUUAUUUCAAAUUUGGGCUUGUAAAAAUUUGUAAUAUAUAUAUAUAAUUUUAUUUUAUUUAUAGAUAAAAAAUAUUAUUUAUAAUCUACUUUGUUGAUAUAUUUUUAGUUAGUUUAUAGUUUUCAAUGUUUAAAUAUUUUAUUUCAAAUUUGGGCUUGUAAAAAUUUGUAAUAUAUAUAUAUAAUUUUAUUUUAUUUAUAGAUAAAAAAUAUUAUUUAUAAUCUACUUUGUUGAUAUAUUUUUAGUUAGUUUAUAGUUUUCAAUGUUUAAAUAUUUUAUUUCGAAGUUAACAAUUUACUUUGUAUAUAUUUUGUUUUGUAUCUAGUUUGCCUCUAGCCUUUAAUCUUAUAAUUUAACAUAAUGAAUUGAACGUUGAUAUUUCAAAAAAAAUAUUUUGUACUCAUGUAAAUUUUACCAUCUUUUUGAAAAUUUCUAUUCAUUUAACAUUUUUUAAGUUUAGCUUAUCAGACAGGUAAGUGAAAAUAUAUUUGAUCUCUUUUUCAAAUACCGUAUAGUUGUAAAAAACCGAAAAACCCGACUUUAUGUGGUUUGAUUUGGUUUUUAGAUUUAAUAAACAUACAUAAUUGGUUUAGAUUUUUUUUAAUGAAAAAUCAAAUCAAACUGACCUAUGUACCCCCCUAGUUUCAAUUAUGAAUUUUAGAAUAUAAUAUUAUUUUUUACCAUCUAGAAAAUGAUAUUCGUAUUGACACACGGAUUAAUCGUAUCGGCAAAUACUUACUAGGGGAGAAAAUAUUUUCUAUUUAAUAUUCUAAAAACUCAACCACAAAAAAAUCUGAAAAGAUCUUAUUCUAUAUUUCGCUGUUACUCUUGGUGGUUAGUAUAUUAUUCAAUCCUAGAGGAAAAUAUUAGAGUAGUAAAUAAUAAGUUAAUUGGAUUAAAUUAAUGAAUUAAAAUUCUUGAGAAUGGCUUAAAAUGAAAUGAUAUCAAACAUUUAUAAAAUAUUACUGAGUGGUGGAAUGAUAAGUUUGAUUAAUCCAUCAACAGAUGGUUAAUAUUUUUUGGUUAAAUAUGUUACUAUUCUGAAAAGGUUAGAGAUGAACCAACAUGGUCAUUUCUACAGAAACCAAUAAAUGAAAUUGAAAGGUGGGACCAGAAUGAUAGAUCUUCCCAAUGAUUCACCUUAGGACUUUUAUCCAUCACCAAUCAUCAUUACGUGUUUCCUAAUCUAUUCUACCUCCACAUGCUUUUGCUCCCUUGACCUUUUAUCACCCCCCUCUAAUUCUUUCAACUUUCUAUUUUUCUUUCUGGAAAAAUUUAUUUCAUAAAAUCAAAAGUUGAAACAUUAAUUAAACGCACAGUUUUCUGUUCUCUGCUAUUAGUAGGUGGUUGAUUUCUAAACGGUUUUGAAAAUUAAAGCAAAGGAUGGUCAAUAUUAUUAUGGAAACCAACACCUAAUAUUGAUCGAAAAUUGCUAAAUAGUCAAAAAAAAUUGGUCUAAAUUUUAUCAGAAAAAUAAGAAAUUAUAAUAUUUUUUUUAUUUUAAAAUAAAUUGAUCAUUUUUCUAUUUUUUAAUUAAAAUGUAUUAAAGUUAAAAAGAUAAAAAUAUUUUAAAAAAUAAAAUAUCAUUCUGAUCAAAUUUUCUGGCCAAAAAGAUUUUUUCAUACUGAUAUUGGAAUAGGGGUUUGAUUUCUAUUUGAGCAAUCACUCCCGAGACACUUGGCUAAAGACGCUCUUUAUAUAAUGCAAUAUUACACAGUAAUACCUGUCAAAAUUAGAAAUAAAUGAUGUCCGUUAAAAUUUAUAUUUAUAUAGGAAAAAUUCUUUUGGCCAGAAUUAUAUUUUAUCUAUGUUAUUUUACUUUUAAAAAUAUUUUUACCCUUUUAACUUUAAUACCUUUUAACUAAAAAAUGAAAAAAAGAUCAGUUUAUUUUAAAAUUAAAAAAAUAUUAUAAUUUUAAAAAUUUUCUGGCCAAAUUUUCUGGCCAUUUAGUAUUAAUAUAUAUUAUAAUUUAAUUAUGCUAUUUAAUAAAUGCCUCUUGAAAAUUGAAUAUUAUUAAGAAAAUAUAAUAAGUAUAAGGAAUAGUUGAAAACAUAUACUCAUUCAUUUCAAUGUGUUUGACCUAUUUUAUUUUAUGGUACAUUUAAAAAAGAAUGACCCUUUCCUUUUUAGCAAAUUUUUAAUUUUAACUUUUCACCUGACCUGUUUAAAAUCACAAAAUUAAAUAACAUUUAGAUACAUUUAACAUAUUUUUAGGUUUAGAUCACAAAAUUUAAAAGUGUUCAUUACUUUUUUAAUUCGUUCCAAGAUAAAAUAAACCAAACAAAUUGAAAUAAAGAAAGUACUAAGUUUUACUCUACUAACAUAACACUUAUUUUGAGACAAGGGAAAAAAAUAUACUCCUUUAACAAUAAAUAAUAUGGUAAUAUUAUAUUAUCCUUUGAUUUUAGAUAUAAAAGAUAAAUUAUCUCUUGAUUUUUUAAAUUAGACAUAUAUAUUCGGACAACUAUUAUUAAAUGGAAAAAGUAUUAUUAUUUAAUUUUCAAUUUUAAAAAUAAAAUUGACAAUGUAAUUUUAUUGUCUAAUCUCUUCAAGAAUUUACGUGUCCUACGCAGAAAUGGGGGGGCUUGAGAUUUUGGGAGCAAGUGAUGGUUGGAAAAGACACAUCAAAGAGGAGUCCACCUGAAUGAUACUCAUGCAAGUCUCGUUCCUCAUAAUUAAUGAGUUAUUGUUAGAAACUUGGUCCAAUCAGCGUGCAUUUCACGUGAUCUAUGACCCACUCCACCCCUUAAUCUUAGGGCACCUCACAUCUUCCACCACUUUUGCACAUUAUCUCUAAUUCAUGAAUCCAUCAAAUAUUACGUCGAAAUGACACUACCAUAAACAAACAAAAUUAUAAAUCGAAUGUUAAUAUUAUCGCAUCUUUGAAUUUUCAGGUUAUUUAAAUCAUAUUCCUACUUUCAUUAUGCUACCAUGAACUUUUAUAACUCGUCAAGUCUCUCGGGCACCGCCAUUCACUCUGCCAAUAAGUUUUUACAAUUAUUAAAAUUCAAACUAGAUUAAUAUUAUUAAUAUUUCAAAUAUUUUUUAAUAUAUUAAUAUGAGAAGAAUUGUAAUUUAUAAUACUUAUUACUUUGUAAUUUUUGAAUAUUUUAAUUUUAAUUUGAAACUAUUAAAUUAAUCUAAUUUAAUUUAAUUUCAAAAAUUACUUAAAUUGAUAUUUGAAAAGCAAAAAAACCACAUAAAUUGAGAUAAAAAAAAGUUAUUGAUGAUUUUAUUUACUUCCUCCCUCUCAAAUUUUCUGUCAUGAUUCUCUUUUAUAUGUUUCUUCAUAAAUAUUAAUUAAAAGGAGGAUUUACCAAUUUUAUUAUUCAUUGAUAUUUGAAUAUUCAUAACAUUAUCUCAUAAUUGAGGCAUUUAUAAUUUUCAAGAGCAGUAACUACUCUUUCCGUUUUGAAAUAAUUGGUGUUUUUGUCUUAGACACAACCCUUAAGAAAACUACUUAAUCACUUCAGGAAAAUAAGAAAUGUUAUAUUCCCUCUGUUCAUCUUUACUCGUUCACUAUACUAAAAAUAGUUGUCCAAUAAUACUUAUCCAAAUUAAAAAAUUAAGAGAUAAUUUAUCUUUUUCUAUUUGUUUUACUUUGCUAUUAAAUACUAUUCAACAUCUAAUUAUUCAUAAUUUUGUGAAUGUUAUUUUUUAAAAAAUAUUAUUUAUUUUGAAAUGAAGAUAAUAUUUAUAAGGAUAGAAUGAAAAAAGAAGAAGAGAAGCUUUACACAUUUAAAAUAAUAAGUAUUUUAAGGUAACAAACGAAUUGAAAUGAAUAAAGUGAAUGAUUAAUUAUUUGGGCAUUCCUUUCUUUAUGUACACGCCUCUUGCAAGCAGGCAGUGCCCCUCCUCUCCUUUAUUCAUGUAUACACUUUCUCUAUCAAUUAACUAACAAAACUAGAGACAAAUACACGUGACCUCACCCCCACCUACAUACCAACCUUUUUUAUUUAUUUCUCUUUCCCUAUAUUACACAUCAUCUCAUCAUCAUUAAACACCUCCAACUGAAUUAUCAUUAUCUUUCUCUUUUUGUUUGCUAAAAGAUCUACUUCUUCCAAUUUGUUAAUCCUACUUUAAUUAAAUAUAAAAUUUAAAAAUUAUAAAAAAAAUACUUUUAAAAUGAACUAAAAAAAAAAUUAGAUUAAUAAAUUGAAACGAAAAAGUACUAUAUAUACUUUUAACUAUUCUUUCCUCUAAUUUUUUUUCAACUCUAUUCAUGAUGGAUAAUGCUUCAAGCAUGCACCUGUCUAAUCAUUUAUUAUAACCAAGUGGCGCAAAACAAUAAUAUUCAUUUACUCACUUUUUAAUUUUUUUAAAAAUACAUUAUCAUCUUCAUCUUCUCUUAUCCAGAAUUUUUCGGUCCGUCCAGAUUUAAUUCCUUUAUGAUAAUUGUAUACGAAUCAAUAUAAUUCACAAAAAUCGUUUGGCGAUAAAAAUACCCGAAUCAUCUUCUUACACUUUUUUUUUUCCAUUUUUUUUGGGGGGCCUUUUUGCCUUUUGGGACCUCUCCUUUGCUCAAAUCAUGAGAGUCCAAUAAUUGAGAAGAUUACGGAGACACAAUACUCCCUCCGUCUCAUCUUUUUAUUUUACACUUGUAUUAAGAAAUUGUGUAACUUUAUCCUUCUACCCUUAUUUAAUUUUUUUGAAACUCAAAUUUUCAAUCAAUGAAUAUGAAUUAAUUUAACCACUGAACAUGAAUCAUUCACUUUAACUUAUCUAUCUAUGUUGGUUAAUUGUAUGUUUUCAAUGCUAAUAACUCACAAGGGUAAAAAAAAGAACAAUAUGUUAAUUUAUGCAUUGAUUUUAUGUAAUAACAAGUAUUAUGGAUCAACUAUUUAUAGAAAGGGAUACAGGGAGUGAGUAAAAAGGGAAAAAAAUGUAGAUGACGAAUUAAAUAGGAAACGACGAAAGUAAACGAAGAUCAAUAGAUUGUACUAUAUAUAAAUAAUAAUAAUAAUUCAUCCAUAUGUAUAUAUUUGCUUAAUGAUUUACAGACUUAUAAUAUGGACCAUAAGAAAGAAAACAAAUUAAAAAUAUUGAUUAGUGACCUUAAUUCUAAUUACUCUACAAAUACAACUGCACUAGUCAUACAAGCCCUAACCAAAAAAAGUGGCGGCUUUCCGAGAUUUUUUCUAAACAAGAUUUAUAUUACUAAUAUAUAUGGCCUUUAAUUAACAAGCUGCCGACGGAUUGUUGAAUGGACUGUAGAAGUGAGGUUUUUGAGCAAUGGUAAAAGCAUUUUUCGACGGAUUUUCUCCGACACCGCCGCCGAUCCUUUCGCAUGAAGGACACAUGGUUAAGGUUGCCGCCGGCAACUGCAUGUACAAAGGUUGUGCUAUUUUUAGAGCCUUUAGUUCGUGCAAUUCCUUGUGAAGUCUCCUGUUUUCUUCUGUCAGUGUCUCGCAGCAUUUUUUCAGGAAUUCACAGUCUACCUCUGUUUGCUUCAGUUUUGUUCUGUAACCACACGAUCCCAUCAAUUUUAUGUUCACAAAAUUGCAAAAAAACAAUAGUGAAGAUUAUCAUUAGUGAUUAGUUCUACCUGGCUCUUCUGUUCUGGAACCAAACUUCAACUUGACGAGGCCUUAAAUUGAGUUCUCUGGCUAAAUCCUGUUUUUGUUUCUGCAUAAUUAGAAAAUUAAUUACGAGUAAAAACAUGUUACAUAUACGACUAUAGCGAUCGAUCAAAAAAUACGAACUUACAGGAUUGAGAGUGCUGUGUAUCUUGAAGCUUUCUUCCAAAAGUGCGGAUUGUGCUUUAGUGAGCCUAAGUUUCUUCCUAGCGUUAGAGCCAUCAUCAUCUUCAUCACUAAUAACUCUGGAGGAAACUCUUUCUACUUCUGUGGUUGUCUCUUCACUACCAACAUCUCUCUCCCUUUUGACACUAGCAUUUGAGUAGGAAGAGGCAGCACUAUCUUGUCUGUACAAAUCAGCAGAUUGAUGAUCUUUGCUAAUUUUAAUCGGCUGUUGUUCGUACGUACGAUCACCGGAAAUCAGGCUUAAAGUUAGUGAAGGUUCAAGGCCAAGAGACGGACCUUUGCCUACUAGUGGUGUUGUUAUUUUCUUUGAUUUGUAAUCGGCUGUUGAGGAAAAGCCUAAUCCUAAAACUAGGCCAGUGUUGCAAAUAUCAUCAAAACCCAUCUAUGUGUUAGAAUAAAAGAAAACGAAAAAAAGGAAGCAAGUGUGUGUGUGAACUUUUGUUGUUGUGAGGAAGAAUGGUGGAAAAGAGAAAAGGGAUGGUGGGAUAUAUAUGAAGAGAGAGUUGGGGACUUUAGCUAAUUAGGCGUAGCUUUGGGAGAGUCUUUCAAGGGAAACUCAGGAAUAAGACUUUUGUGUCUUAAGGUGAGGUGUUGUGGGGUGUGGUGAGUGGGUGGGUGGGUUGGUUGGUUGGGUGACUAUAUAUCUAUCUAUGAUUAAUAAUCAAAGGAUUGAAUGAGUAGUGUGGAGGAAUUAUUAAAAGUCUAUUUCUUUCCCUUCAUAGGUUGACCAUUCGAACCCCACUACUCUUAUCUCUCCAUUAUAUGUAAUGACCAACAAACUAGGAAACUAACCACUUCGGACCGUGAAAAAAUUGCUUAACUCUUAAUUAAAAGUCUUGAUUGAGGUCAUGUAUAUAGAGAAAGUCCUAUUAGAAGCAUCACCCCCAAAUAAGUCAUACAUGACCUAUGUCAAAAACCAGUUGAGUUUUACUCUUCAGUAAGAAUGAUAAAACAUUUCGCAAGCUUGAAUCCCUAUAAAAAGUCCGUCCCAACUGCACUGCAUUUAUAUUUAAUCGGAGUUUUAAUACGUAUUCCAAACAUUUAGAGCGAAACAAAAAAACCACCCGGGGUGCUCUUACCCUUUUCUUUUUAGGGUAAUGAAAACUUAAAAAAUCACUUAUUUUAAAAUAGAAAAAAUAACAUAUAAUACCUGCUUUAAGGAGUGAUUAAUUGAUAUUUACAUCGAGAAGUUUCAAAUUAAAAUAAUAAAUUUUAUGAUUAUAUAUUUAAAUUUUGAAUUAAGAAUAAAAAAAUACUAGUAAUUAUCAAGCUCUUUAACCAAGCAAAGAUACGCUCUCUCAUAAGUUUGAACUUUUGGAAUAUCAAAAGAAUAAAUGCAUAUAAUGAGUACGUGGAUUCACAUGGAAAUGGAGAAUCAUUCGUCUGCCCUUUCGCCACCCAUCACCAUACCGAAAUUUCUCUCUUCUUUAAUUACCACAAGCAUUUUAUUUCUUUUUUCUCUUUCGUACUAUUCUUCUCUUAUUAAUUAAAUAUUUUUUCUAACUUUAUCCACUCUUUACUUCUAUCAUCGUAUAUAUUUCUGAUAAAUAAUACAUGGAUCAUUCGUUUACCAACUUGUGUGACAGCAGCCAUGAUACACCCAUCACUAAUGUUUGUUAGGUAUAGCCCCAUAAUCAUCUAAUAAUUCACCUACGAACUAUUAUUUCUCGGAAAAUUUCCAACAUGUACCUCAUAUAUAAAGCGGAACAUAUAAAUACAUAAUAUAAAGUACAGUUCUUCAAGAUAUUUAAUUUCCUUCGAUGAAUUUUUAUUAUUUCCAACAAAAUAACAUAAAAGAUUUUCGUACUUAGGUCCAAUAAUCAAAUCAAGUGUAGAACGAUAGAUAAGCAGGGUUUAAUUAAUCAACUAAAAAUUUCUUAAUUAGUUAUUGAAUUAAUAUAAUUACUUGGUACAUAAUGAAUAUUGUGCGUGGAUUUUGCAGGUGGGUAUAGUAAGGUUGGUUUGAAGAUGAGAUAGAGAUGUGCACUAUGUGAAGUGUAGAGCAUGAUGUCUUCAUUGUUUGGUGUGUAAUGAAAGAGGCAACUCAAAGAGGAAGAAAAGUAGGUACAAGACACUAUAAGGGAGUUUCAUAAGUGUAAUAAUGCUGCCAGAAUAUGAUUCAUCGACAAGAAUCCGGAUAUUUGCUUAACUAUAAAGUUUAUGUACCCCUGUUGCUUUCGCGAAAAAAAAUUAAAAUCUAUCAUAUUCUAUGUUUACAUCAAAUUAAUAAAAAAAAAAUUGUUACGUAUUCAUAUUUAAUUAAAUGGUUGAUCUGUUAAGGUUUAUAAUUUCAUUAAAUAUUGGUUGCAAAGAAAUAUUUUUGAAGUUUCUAUGUAUGUAAAUUGGGACCCCCAUGCUAAUUGAGCUGUAUGGUUAUAAACAGAUAGUAUAAUAAUGCAUUGUCGGCUGAGGUGAUGAGAAGUUAGGUCACCCAUUAAACAUGAUUUGAUCUAACUUUUAUUAUAUUUCUUCUAUUCUUGGUUCUGUUUAGAUUAUUCAUUUAACAAGCUUUACUUUGGAAUUAUACCCUAAUAAGGCAUAUAUGGUCCCGCCUAACUAGUCAUCACUCACCAACAUGCUGUGGUGCAUCCAGUUUUUUUCCACAAAUCUACAAGAUCUUGAGUUUUUCUAUUUCAACUUUUUAGCACUUCAUUAUUUAUUCUUUUCAAUUUUUGACAAAUUAAUACAAAAGAAAAUAAUUAAUAUGUGUUCGAGUUCUUUCCGCCAUCUCUUUUGAUGUCCUAAUUUAUACAACUAGUCAAUUUUUUAUGUCAUCUUUGCAUUUUACAUGCAGCAGCCCAGCAGAUAGGCAUGCCAUAUUUUAAAACAAACCAAUUAAAUCAAAAUUAAUAUAUAAUCAAUCAAAUGUCUAUUUUCUAUAUGAAUUGAUGGAGCUUCUUGAUUAAGUAAAAUCAUAAAAGUCAAGGAAAGACAUCUGAAACUGGUCCUUAUUGGGGAAAUAACUAAUGUGUUUAAUUACUCAGAAUAAUACAACUCGUUUUGUUUUAUAACCAACUAUUUAUCCUUAUGUUAUAACAAUUGGGUAAUUACUUUCUGUGUAUUAUUUUAUGAACAUUUAAUUAACUCGGUACGAAGCUCAAACAUGUUAAUUUGACCUGUCCCUUAUAUCAUAUUAUUAUCAUUAUAUAUAUCGUUGAAGAUAAUAAUAAUAAUAAUAAUAAUAAUAAUAAUAAUAAUAAUAAUAAUAAUAAUAAUAAUAAUAAUAAUAAUAAUAAUAAUAAUAAUAAUAAUAAUAAUAAUAAUAAUAAUAAUAAUAAUAAUAAUAAUAAUAAUAAUAAUAAUAAUAAUAAUAAUAAUAAUAAUAAUAAUAAUAAUAAUAAUAAUAAUAAUAAUAAUAAUAAUAAUAAUAAUAAUAAUAAUAAUAAUAAUAAUAAUAAUAAUAAUAAUAAUAAUAAUAAUAAUAAUAAUAAUAAUAAUAAUAAUAAUAAUAAUAAUAAUAAUAAUAAUAAUAAUAAUAAUAAUAAUAAUAAUAAUAAUAAUAAUAAUAAUAAUAAUAAUAAUAAUAAUAAUAAUAAUAAUAAUAAUAAUAAUAAUAAUAAUAAUAAUAAUAAUAAUAAUAAUAAUAAUAAUAAUAAUAAUAAUAAUAAUAAUAAUAAUAAUAAUAAUAAUAAUAAUAAUAAUAAUAAUAAUAAUAAUAAUAAUAAUAAUAAUAAUAAUAAUAAUAAUAAUAAUAAUAAUAAUAAUAAUAAUAAUAAUAAUAAUAAUAAUAAUAAUAAUAAUAAUAAUAAUAAUCAUAAUAAUAAUAAAAGGUAUUUGUUGUAGAAUUUUACCAUGGUGAGUGGAUUUAGACUUGUUGAAUGUUGUGUGGAAUAAAAUCAAUAAUAGUACUAUGUUUUCGGUUGACGCCAACUAACAAGAUAAUUAAUCAUUAUAUUUAAUUAAUUGGAAGAUGCAAAGCAUUUUAUCAAGGCAUAUAUUUCAAAUCAUAUUCUAAGACAAUGUCAACUUACCAUUAACGUUGGAAAGGCUUUCUGUUUUGAGUUUUGAGUUUUGACUUGUGCUAGUACAAUCAUGAAUGAACCACUUUGAACAAGAAUACUAAUCUUGUGCUUAAUGGGUUUAGCAUCGAUCAUAUAAUAUGACUAAUUUAAUGAAUGAAAUUAAGGUAUAAACAAAAGACACUUGAUUAAAAUGAUUGUCAUCCAAACCUUUUUGUCUCUAGUGGACGAAUACCAAAAGCAGCUUGCUAAGCAUUUGACUUUGAUAUGGUUGGAGUAUUUCUAAUAUUUCUUUAAUACAUACUUUAUGUGGUGCACUGAAUGUUUUUUUUUUAAUUAGAGGUUUUGAUUUUGAGUCACUGAUAUAAAUAAAUUCCUUAAUAGAGAUUAACUUUUACUCUAAGGAAUCGUUUGGUAGAGUGUAUUAGCAAAAAUAAUGUAUGCAUUAAUUAUAUGUAUUAGUAAUCUCUUGUUUGGUGCAUUUUUUCAUGCUAUGUAUAACUAAUGCUUGCACUAUACAUUCUAUUGUGUAUUGAUGAGUGUAUUACUAAUACAGUGGAUUUCUAGGUAUUAGCAAUGCAAAUGAUUUAAUACAUGCAUUAAUAUGAUUAAAGACCCAAUUACCCUUCAAAAGUACUUUUACAUCUUUUCCACCAUAAUUGUGAAGGAUACUUUUUGUAAAUAAAUAUUUUUAUACAAUGCACACUAUUUUUAAUACACCAAACCAAACAAUGCAUAACAAAUAAUUUAUGCAUAACUAAUACAAGUAUAACUAAUACAUGCAUUACUAAUACACUUUAUUGGAUAUAAUUUUUAUACACUCUAUCAAACGACCUCUAAAUGGGCUAUAUAUCGUGUGAAUUCAAAUUAGUUGACUUUUAAUACAUAUAUCAAAUACCAAUUAUAAAGAAAAGUAUUUCUUGAUAUGUAUAUGUGCUCUCCGUCCUAACUUGAACCUUAUCGAAGAUGAUUGGGAAUAAUUGAGAACCCACCGAAACAAUCAACUAGUGGAUGGAAAAUUUAUAAAUAAAAAGAAAUAAAGAAGUUUCUAUGAAGCUUGUAAAAGUAUAGUACGUGUUGAACUAUAUUUUUUCUUUUUUGGUGAAAGGUGAGUUAUUACAAAAUUUUAGGCUAGAACGAACGAUAAAUAAAAUUAUGCAGGGAAAUGAUCUAGACUUAGAUAAUUAAUACAACCCGUAAUAAAUUUUAGAAAACUAAUUUCUAAUUUGUUUUCCAUGAAAUCAACUCUUAAUAUAUUUUCAAUUACCUAAUUUCUUUUACUUUAAAAAGAAUAAAAAUUCAAUCAUAUAUUUUUUAUUUCUAAUCAAAAGGAGCACGUACGGGUAUCUUAAUUUUAAUACAUUAUUUCCAUAGUUAUUGUAUCUUAUUGACUUGAGAGAAUAAUGCAUUCAUUAAAAAGAGGAUAAGAAACAAAAAAUCAAAUGUGAUAAUCCUUGAAUAGUUAAUCACGUGAACACCAACUUGUACAUAAUCUCAAAAUCAGUAUGAAAAGGAAUACGUUACUUGUGCCUAAAUCCAUUGCAUAUUGAGGAUGUUCAUGUACACAUAUAGUUGAAAAAGAAGUUGGAAUCUAUUGUAAAUAGUAAAUAUAUAAAAAUUGGUCCCCUAAGAGAAAAAGAGAAAGAAAUGAUCACGUGCGAAGGAGGUGGGUAGAGACUAGAGACGAUAUAGGGACCCGCCAAUGAUUUGGUAUUAUGGGUAUUCGAUUCCGUGGGGGAUUGAGGAGUUUUGAGCGUAGAACUUGCCAAUCAUGCUACCCUCAAUUUUUGGGACCUCGAUAACGUUUAUUUUCAACGUUCAAUUUUACUCGUUUAGUAUUUGAAAUUUUAAGUUUUUAUUUUCUAAAUCAUUUUUCAUUCAAUACUAUACAUUAAUUAAUAUGAUAAAAUAUGUAAACAAUCAAAAUUUAAAUUAAGCAACAGAAAAAGUAGUAAAAUUUAAUAAAUAGCUUAUUUGGUCAGACUUUUAAAAUUAAAAAAAUAUAUAUUAAUAUUUUCAGCAUCUUACAAAUAACUUUUGUUACUUUUUGAAAACAGACCUUUUUUUUUCUGAAAAAGUUAGGCAAAAUACUCAAUUUUAUUAAAUAAGAAGAAUUUUAAUUUUAAAAAAUUAAAUAUUAAGUAUCAAACAAUAAUUACUCAUAACAACUUUUAUAUCUUCAUUUAUUUAAUAAAUAAUAUAAAUACCUUAUCAUAAUCUGUUAAAUAUAUUUAUGAUAUAAAAGUUAUUUACUUUUUUUUUUCAAGAAAUGAAAGUAGUUUUGCUUAUGUUAAAGUUCGUAAAGUAUAUCAAGAUUUUAUUUUAUUUUGGGGUAGUGGAGGUGAAUUUUGAAAUAAACACUUUUAAUUUCUUUCUUCGAAAAAACUUGAUCAAACGGACUAUCAUUAGCAUAUAUGAUUUAUUUGUCAUGAUUCACUCGUUGUUGCUGCAUUUAUAGCCAGCCAAUGGAUGUUGGUUACAGUAGUUAAGGUUCAUAUAAUUUUGUAGUGUUGAAUGCACUGUGCUCCGUUGAGUUCUGAAGAACCUAUCCUUUUUUUGUGCCGUACCUUCCUAAAAUUCUUGUAAUCAAUUUGGAAUAUUUAUUUGUGUGAAAUAAUAAUGCAUCUUAGUGUACAUGAAAAUAUCAUAUCCAUAAAAGGCAGAAUAUCUUUUCUACUUUAUAUAAUAAAGUUUUCGUCUCUGCUAUAAUCAUAAAGGAAAAGAAAAAUACUCUUCUAUUGUUCAUGAUAAAAAGUGAUACGUUUUGAGAUAACGUGAAAUGAUAGAAGAUUAGAAUCUAAUUGUACUAAUAUGACAAACAAAUGGAGCUCACAAAUUUAUUCUUCUUCUUCUUCAUUAUUAUUUUUUUCUUCAAAAAGAAUGGUCUAAAAAAGAGUUGUAUAAUGUAAAAGUUGUAAAAGGUAUUUCAAGUAUAUAUAUGUCGAUCAAUAAAUUCUUAUGUAUUUAUAAUUACAUUACUCUAGAUAUUAAACACUUUAACGUUCAAUCAGUUGAGAGGACAAACGAUAUUAGUUAAUUUAAAUAUUUUAAAGUGUAUUACAUAUUCAUUGUAAAAAAAAAAACACGAAGAGAUAUAGUGCAAAGACAAUCAGAAAAAAGUUGAAUAUCAAUCUGAACAACAAAAAUUUGAUGUUAAUUUCAAUAAAGGAAGUGUUAUAAGUAGACAUAAUUUUUUUUUGGUUAAGAUAGUAUUGGUAUGAGCCGAUCACACAGUGAGGCAAAUAUAGUCUAUUUAGAGGGUAGGGAAGUUAUCACUCCUUAUCAAGAAAAACUACUAGAAAUUAAGAAAGUAGCGACAAAUAAUAUUUCGUAGCUAAAUAAUUAAAAUUUUAUUUAGUUAUGAAUUAUAAAAUAAACUCAAUUAGUUAAGAACUUUUUAACGACGAAAUAAUUAUAAAUUACUGAUAAAUACCGUAACUGAUUUCAUGUUUUCCAUAGUGAAAGAACAAAAGGAAAAAGAUAUAGUUGAGAUUCUCUAAAUUUCCUAUAUGGUAACUAUUGUUGAUUCCUUUAUAGACUAUUAUUGAUUCCUUUAUAGACUAAAAAGAUUUGAUUUAUUGGAAGGGAAUAUUGCUAUGUGUGCUGAUGUUGGAAGUGAGGAUAUAUAUGCAAAUAUUAAACAGAGGUUAUUUAGAGGUAGUGUUCCAACUCGAACUAGAGAUUUCUGGUUAAAGAUGGAUCAAUCUUACUUAAUGACGAUCCACCAUGUUGGUUUGAAGUGUACUUUUAUACUUACACUAUAAUGGAGCUUGAAAAGCUAUGACUACAGGAGCAAAAUUAAUAAUUUAUGUGCAUUAAGUGUCUGAUACUUUGUCUGUGUAAAAGUACAAUAUAUAAUGUGGUCAAAGAGUUGAAUAGAAUGAGAGAUAAUCAUCUAAUGAAGUGAUUAAUUACAAACAUUUUCUUUUUAUACAAAAUAGAAGUUGCAAUUUAUUUUUCACCGAUUCUGUGUGUUUUAAAUCUCAGCAAAUAUAUUACUAUACUGUUGUAUUGUUCUUAAAUCCUGUCGGAAAAAAUAAAAUUAAACAACAGAAAGUACAGUAAGGCGGAUCUAAUAAAUAUUUGCAGGUUUGACGUAUAUUUGUAAUAAUAAAUUAAUACAUAGUCUAGAAUACAUACAUGAUAGAUUUAAAUAAGUAGAAAAUAUUAAAUUUCAUAGGGUGUGGAUGGCAAAAUGGGAAGUAUAAAAAAGGAUGAUGUGGUCUAACGUGAGGACAAGAGUCCAAGUAAGAAAGUAGAAUUUAGUGACUUGUCGGGGUUUCAUCUUUUUCAACAAAAGGGCAAAAGAUAAAAGAAAAUGAACAUGAUCAAUUUUCCACCGACUUUCACAAAAGCAAGGGACGACCUUCCUUAUCUUUACCCUACUUUAUUAUAUAAUAUAUAAUAAAAUAAUAUCUGAUUUUUAUAUUAGAGUUUGAUGAGAUCUGAAAUAUCUAUUUUCGAAAAUAACACUUUUAAAAUGAUUUUCUUUUUUAUUGCAAGGACUUGAAUACUAUAAGACUUUUAAUUAUGUCUUUUUUAGUAGUAGUAUUUGUUUUCUAACAAAAGACUUGUUUGAUGGAUUAGGAUUUCAGUUGGGAAAAGGUAAAAGUAAAACCUGUUUCUUGUUUUCAUUUUCCAAUAAGGGUUCUUCGCCAUGUCAUAACCCCACUUACCUGACUAACUUUCUCGUCAUCCAUCAUACUCUAACAAAGUGGGCCUCAAUUUAAUUAUUAGGAUCCCUUUGCAAUAAUCAUAAUACCUAUAAAACAAUAAAUGAAAAUUACUCUAGUUGAGCUAUUGUUUUCAAUAUAAGCAAUUCUGAAGUUGGUUACACAAUUAUUUGUAGUAACAAUUUUUUAACAAACCAAACGCAACCCCUAGGACCAAACGAAGUGGUUGUUAGUGCGAAAAAAAAACACAAUUGAGGGUUUGCCGGCUCCAAUUGUGGCACAAAGUUAGUUAUGACAACUUGUCUCCUAUUGUGUUCUCCACGUGUGUCCAUGUCAUUUGAAGAUGGAAUAUUUUGGGGGGCUUUACUUAAUGGAUUCUUUAUUUAAUUACACUCCAGUAAAUAUUUAAUUUAGUUGUUCAACUGCUCUUUGCAUUAACCUCUAUUAGAUUAGGUAAUUGCCACUACUUACAUUGGAGAUAUUAACCCAAACAAUUGUAGUUUCGUGGAGGAAACAAAGGACAGAAGAUGUUAUAGGUGAUCAAACUUCAAUAAUAAUAUUUUGAGAGAAAAGAUAAUACAUCCCCUUUUCAAGAAUAGUCAUCUCAAAUCAUUUGUAAUAAUAUUAGAAGUUCAAGACAUCAUUUUUUCCUCAUUCUACCCUUGUAAUUGUUCAAAGACUACAAACACCUCAAUAAGAUGAUACAGUAAGUAUUCAAUGAACAGAGAUUAUAUCGUAAGACACAAAUAGUUAAAAGUCUCUAUAUUUUCUUGAAGGGGAGUAUAAAAAGAGAAACAGGACAAAUUAUUUAAGAUGAAAAGAAAGGAAAUAAGUUAUAUCUAGAAUACUUUACAGUGUUCCUCCUGUGGGGGAUUCUGUUCUGUUUGUUUGUUCUCUUCUUUCUUUUUGGAUAUGAUGCUGGGGCUUGUGAAGUCCAUAACCAUGGAAUAAAUCGCUUUUCAUUGAUAAUUAUUGACGGUCUGGCACUCGAAUAUUGUUGUAGAAAAAAAGGAUUUCAAUUACUCAUUCAUUUCUCUAAAGAUGAAUUCGUGCUCAUAACAAUCAUUGUAACAGGUGUAAUUUUGCGAUGGACAUUGGAUUUUUAUUUUAUUGCACUGAAGUCCUUGUAAGAUGUAACCGAAAACUUUCAACAUUUUUUUCUAUUAGUACUAUUGUUUUGUAAACAGAUUGACCAACAACCGUUGUUGCGGACAUAGUGUGUUUCGUUACGUUGGGACCAAAUCAAACGUGAUUUUAGGCCCAGAACUCCCUCAUAUUUGCUGGACAAGGAGUUCAUUUACAGGAAGCCCAGCAACCUUUUGGGAAUGGAACAGAGACUAAUGUCCACCAACUUUAGCGUGACCCAAUUCAAUGGCCAAUUUCUCUUCAACCACACCUUCCAAUUAUUCAAUUAUUACUUUAAUCUCUGAAACAAUACAAUAUCAAAUGAAUAUUCAAAGACAUAACGGUUGGGUUUCAAGUACAUCGGAAGCCUGUUAUGCCAAAACAUAUAACAUCAUCACCGUAGAAGAAUGAUCAAAGCAAACCAACAUGUGUUAGUGCAAAAAAGAACUCAAGAUGGUUUUGGAGUUUACAGUAUCCGAUCCCUUAUCAAUAGUAUAUUUUUCAGUAAAGAUAGGCAGUACGUUUGAUGUGGCAAUUCAAGUAGGCAUUUAUACAGAGCAUUGGUUCUAAUACUACUUGAUUAGGUUACUCUUUAAAGGUCUAUUUAUUUUUCAUGUCACUUCCUGCUUACCGCCCCUUUGGAUGGAUGACUCACAUAGCUAAUCUUUGCAAAUGACAAAUACAUUCUUUUUGAACUAUAAAAUCCAAAGAUUCAUUUUCUACAACUUCAACCAAAUAAUGUCUAGGCAUGUAGGAAAAUAAUGGGUUUUACCAACAACUUGAGAGUUCUUUAUAGAUUUUCAAUGAAUAAAAUAGCUUGGACCUCAAUGUGUAUAUGUUUCUUUGUAUGGUUGGACAAUAAUUUCUAGAACAAGAGGCAGUCUUAGGAGUUGAUAGAUGUGAAUAUUAAGUACCGGGAGGACCUAAUUACUGACAAGGACACUAUCUGCGAAGGAGACGAGGAAAAUGAAAGAAACCUCCAAGCUGCUGAAAAGGUGUUAGAGAUUUGAGAGUUGCAGAGAACAGUUGUGCGGCAAGGAAGGGGGACAGAAACAACAAAAUGAGAAAUGAUCUUGAAAAUGCUGGAUGAAAAAAAAAUAAAAAAUGCGUCAACCAUGAGGAAGAAAAAGUGGAGGCUUUGAUAAAUGAAACUCAAAAGUUAUUGAUUCUGGUUGAAAGCUGAGAAAGCUAAAUUUGAGACUGACUGAAUGGGAGGUAAUCAAUGAGAAAAGAGAAGAGUUGCAGAAGGAAGCUGGAACGUGUGGUUGAAGAGAAAUUGGCCAUUUCUAAGCUCUUAAGGAUAGUUGUGACAACCCUGAAAGCAGAGAAAAAUGCAAUGCAACAAGGAUAUAAGCAAAAUCCAGAAUCACUUCCCUGUGAUCGUGAAACCUUCAUGUAUGAGAUUGAGAGUAAACGGGCUGGUCUAUUUAGCGAAAUUCAGAAACAACGCGAUAACUUUUAGCUGGAUGUUGAGAUGCAAAAAGGCGCUAGAGAAACGCAUUGAAAAAAAGACAUGAAGUAGAAAUUAGCCUAAAGGAGAAAAGUGAAAGCCAUAUGAUGAACAUAAGAAAAGAGCUUCGGGAUAUUGCACCUCUCAGGGAGACUUACGGAAAAGGAAUUGGAGCAUGUUGGCUUAGUGUUGAAGAAACUAGAUGCUCAGACAAAAGAGAUCAAUUUGUAUCGAGAGAGAAGAGAUA
rnacentral:lncRNA from 1 species